rnacentral:lncRNA from 1 species
GAAUUUUAAUCCUCUGCAAAAAUGUAAUCAUUGGAUAGCUUUUAUAAAUGAGAACUGUUUAUAUGCGUCACUUUGUUCCUUGAUUCUUAAUAGAUAUUUUUCUCUGCUGUCUGCAAAAAUGUAAUCAUUGGAUAGCUGGUUGACAUGCAGGUUGCGUGUGGUCAGAUUGAACUAGUAAAAAAUGCAAGGAGGAGGCUGACAUCUCCCAGUGUUGCUGCUCCACCAGUGAAUACUGGUAUCCUUCCAAUUGAAGUCACCAGAACAACUGAACCAAUCCCGCCUUCAGUGCAAUUAAUCAACAUCCCUCCUCUGCCUCCACCUCCCAAUCCUGUGACUUCUUUCACAAAUUCCAAAACUAAUGAAGAGGAAAGCAAAAGGUCGGCAGCAGCAGCUGUUGCUGCAAAACUUGCUGCUUCAACAUCUUCUGCUCAAAUGUUAACCUCUGUUCUUUCAUCCCUUGUUGCUGAAGAAGCUGCAUCACUGAGCAGUGGAUUGAAAUCAACUGGCUUCACUUCUAGCUUGCCUUUUGCAUCCCCAGAGAAACGGCUCAAGUUAGAUAAGCCAAUGACUUUUUCUGAUAUGAAAAGUUCUGAAAGGGGUAGCUCCACUUACUUUACUUCAUCACAACAAUUGAUUACUAGCAUUCCUCUUGCCCCAUCCUCAGCCAUGCAAUCUGUGUCCCAGCCAAACCAGAUACAAGCUCCGUUUCCACCUCCUCCCCCUCCCCCUCCAUCAUUACAUCCAGCAAAUUCCCCUGCAAGUCAGUUAGUUCAAUCUACAGCUAUGAUGAUGGGGGUGAUGCCAUAUGGAUAUAGUGCUGGCCUUCAACAACCUCUGUCUUCUCAAAUUGCAAUGGGACUGAGGCCUCCUCCUCCACCACCCCAGCAAGCACAGCAGCAGCAGCAACUGCAGACUCAGCAGCCACAAUCUCAGCAGCAGCCUGCCAACGGUGGAUAUUACCGUCCUCCUGGUAUUGGAUUCUAUGGACAGGCCCAUCAGCAGACGGCUCCAGCAGCACCGCGGCAGUAGAUCCCUUUGGAAUAGGGAGUGCAUGUUACAUUGUACAUUAAUAGUAAAAGUAGACUAGAUCUAGUUACUGUUUUCGGCAUCUUUUCAUACUCUAUUUGCACCCGACAUCCGCUGGCAAUACCCACACCCCCUUGUUAUCACCAAGGCACCCUCUUUUGAUUUAGUGUCGGGUGCUUUGCAUCCAUUUAAGCGUACCUGUAACCUUAUGUAGGUGCUGUAAAAUUAACUGUAGAUUGGGCCAUGUACUUAAUAUCUUCAAAACCGGGAGCUGAAAGAAGCUACUAGGUGAAAUGUUCACCUGUUUCGCGGUGUGGGCUCUCGUCUAUUAGUUGCUUGAAAUCAUGCGUUUUUAAUCUCUGUAUUUCAUGGAUAUAUAUUCUGCAAGCCAAACCAAAACCACAUUAAUUAAAGUUAAACAUGGUUAGGCUUGAACAUGUAUUAAUUUUUUUGCAUGAUAACCAUUUUGAUCACUUAUUUGCACUUGUAUGAAUUGCUUCAUUCCGACCGACGACCGUUUUUUUUUAUAGGAAUUCAUGAUUUUCUCACUUUGUUUCAAUGUGUGUACAUGGACUUGAGAGAAUAUUUUACUGAUUAGCAUUUUUUGGCCCUAAAUCUUUUAUAACCAUUCGAAAUGACCUAUGAACCAUACUCAUAUCCACACCACCUUUUAUUUUUAACAUGCAACACAAGAAUCCAAAGAUUUUCUUCCACCAGUAACGUGAAGAAACAGUUAUUUGAAGAGAAAAUGUGUGAGCAAUCAAGUGAUGAAUUAAUUCGAAUGCACCUCUAAUUUUUUAAUAACACGAACAAAUAAAAGGUAUUAUCAGACCCCAAAAAAAGCUAGGCAUCUGGAGCAAUACAUGAACCAACCAAAGCGAAUAACAGGUUACUUGGAGAAAUAGAGAACAACAUAUUUGUUUGUUUCAUAACGAACGAAGUAAGUAUAUUUUAGUAUUAGAAAGGAAUACUACAAUAAUACAUAAAAACAAGCUAUUCUGAGUCCGAUGAGUCAGGAUUUGAACUCUGCCUCACACUCUUGUUCGACUGAGCUUGAGCUUUGGAUUUUGAUAAAAAUUUUGAUGAUUCACCCUCAAAGAUGAUAACAUCAGCUUUAGCUAACCUCUCUUCAAGUUCCUCCGUGUUAAACUCAUCGGUACCCCCAAGCUCAUCAAAUCCAACCUGUAAUAAUAGCCAAAUCAUGGACGAUAAUAAUGACAGAGUGUAAAUAGUUGGAAAGUUGAUUGUUAACUGGACAGACAUACCAGGUAGUUAUCAACUUUAGCAUUUUUGAUGAGUGCAAGGGUUGGAAGAACAACAAUUCUAAGCUUCUCAGCCAAGUAUGGGGUCUUCUCAGCAUUAAUUUUCACAAAACGUGUCUCUAUAUGCUGUUUUGCCAGUAUGCUCAAAUGCUUGUCCAUAACCUGCAUUGCAACAAUCAAUGGUUGGAAACAGGCUAGCUUUUAGUUGAAUUGGAGGAAACUAGAUUUACCUUGCAAGGCCAAUUCUCGCGGUAGAAAUGGCAAACAACGCGAUCACUAGCCUUAACAACAGAGAAAAAGUCCUUUUCAGCUUGGAUCUCGGAGUAUUCUCCAUGUCCAAGAGAUAUCCAACGAUUCCGUUUUUCAGCCAUUUUCUUCAUCUGUUGCAAUCUACGUUCUCUCAACACCUCCAAAUCAUCAAGAUCUAACCGAUCUAAAGCAUGAAUCUCUUCAUCAAGCUUGUCCUCCACCGCUUUUGCCACCGUCAACACUUGCUUUGCCACUAUCUGCAAUUCAAAAAAUCCUAAAUAAACAUCAAAUUUUCCACCCUCCAUUGUUAAAUAAAUAAUACCUCUUGAACCGCAUUCUCCAUGGUUGAAAAUUGUUUUUUUUUGGGGGAAAAUGAAGCUUAAUCUGUUUGUUCUUUCUUCAAAUUGAAAUGGAUGUGAUGUGUAAGGCACAGCCCUAGCCCUUAUAAUCCACGGGUUGCCCCGGCCCGUUUACCACCAACUUCUUUUUGCCAAAAUUCAUUUUAUUAAUUAAUAAAAAUAAUAAUUUGAUUUCUUAUACAAAUCAUAGUUUCUUUAGAAACAAGAUAUUAAAUACUAUCUUGAUUUUAUUUUUCCGUCAUCCGAUUUUUGAUAUAUGUAUGUAUGGAUAUGGAAGUCAGAGAGCCCCCAUUCAAAGAAAGCAAGUUUUUGAUCCACGUAUUCUGCAUUUAAUUAACCUAAUUUAUAGUGUCACUUGAAGCGUUUUGUUAUGUUGUAAUGAUAAAGUAAGCAUACAUUUUUGGUAUUCUAAUAAAUCAUCUUUAGUGUAUAAAUAAAUAAAUAAAUUAUGAGGAAAACAAAAGAGUCUAGCUAAAAUUUUAUAAACUACAACUUGUUAGCAAAACAGUACAAUAAUCUACAAUUCCCUCUGAAGACAUUUCAAAGAGCAUCAAUAGAGAUAUUAUCAUGACAUUACUGCAGCAAUAGAUAGGUGUUGGUUUGUCAAGGUCAAGUUCAACCGAAGUGUAUUUGGAUGAGGCAGUAAGAAAUAUCUACUCUUCCGGAUCCACAUUCUUAUUUUCUGUCUCAAUCUUCACACAAUUUCCAGCACCUUGGUUAAGCAGUCCCUUCUUAUAAAGUGAGUCCAAUUCAUGGAAAUAGGGGCAUGAUCUGUAGUUUUUUGGACGCGUCUUACCACUGUCAAUUGUCCUUUUAUAGUACUUGUUAAUGUUCUCCCAUUUUUCUUUACACUUUUUUGCUGUCCGAAUGUAACCCAUCUUACCCAAUCCAUCCGCUACCUCUUCCCACACGGAUCCUUUAGCUCCUUUAAGAAACUUGUGAUCUAAACAAGUACGAACUGAUACAAGGGCUUGUACUUCAGAUUUUGGCCAUCUCCUAUUACAUGGAUCGGAUCUAAUAUCACCAUGAACUUCACCUUCAUCUUUAACUACACUUGUUACUUCUGAUGAUUUUGGAAUUUGGAAAUCUUCACCUAACAGAUUCUCAAGGAAAGCAAUAAGAGCCAAGUUUCUAGAUGUCUCUUCAGCUCUCAACUCCACAUCCCGCCUUGCCCUUUCUACCUCUUGCUGCUUCCAAGCUUCUUCCCGAAUGAUUCUCUCCUCUUCCUUCUUCUCUAGCAUCUCUAUUAAUUGCUUGUGCAUCUGCUCUUGCCUGUCCAUCAACUUCUUUACCAUGUCUUCAAGACUUAAUUUAAGACUCUUCCGUGGUAAAUGUUCUUCACUGUCAUCUGAAGAUGAGCUGCAUCAAGGUAAAUUAAAUGCCAGUUGAAUCAGGUUUCUCACAAACUAUUAGAAGAAAGUUAUUGCUAAGGAAGUUCACAGAUUCUUCAACAUACUAUUGCAAAUUCAUUCAUAUCUUCAGAAUUUCGUUGGAGAAACCAAUCAUUCCUAGAAAAUCACUUUUGUUAUUCAAAUAAAUCUGGAUUACAAAAAGUUGCAUUAUCCAUCAGAACUAUUUUGGAGUAAAUUGGCAUGAAAUAUUAGACCUUGGCAGUGAGUUUGAAGCACAGGCUACCGUUAAUCCCAGCGCAACCAACCAUACAAAUUCAAGACCUUAUUAGCCGCUUUCUUUCCCCUUAUAUGAUAUGAACCACAACAACACACCCAAUGUAGUCCUUCUGGGAAGGGUAGAGUGUACGUAGACUUCACCCGACACCACAGAGGUAGAGAAGUUGUUUUUGAUAGACCCUUGGCUAUGACAUCAACCACCAAUCUACUAAUUGAUGUAGAUUUGAUACCCUUAAAAUGACUUCUAAGGUGUAAAAUGUAAAGAGAGAAUAAAAAGUAUGAACCAUUUCUAAUAUCAAAAGGUUUUGAACUUAUUCUAAAUAAGUCUCAAAAAGCUUAGUUUUUUUUUGACAAAACUUAAAUUUAAAGUUAACUGGUAAUGACAUCAAGUACUUUAUGUGACAAAAGUAAGUACUAAUUAGCAACAAAAACAAUUGGAAAUUAGAAAGUUAAUAUAAAAAAAUAUAAAAAUAAUGCAAUUACGAAUAAUAUUAGCUCAAAAUGAAUAUUUAUUUAAAGAGCAAAAUGAAGACCUUUGCUCACAUAAUUUAAUCCCAUAAAUAUCAAACAGCAUAAUAAGGCAUGGCGCUAUUAUUAAUUAAUAAUACAGAAGAUUACCUAAAAUCAGCCUCCAAAAUACGAGAUUGCGAGAUCAAAUUCAAGCAAUCAGCAUCUAACUCCGACUUCAUUUGCUGAACUGCCGAAAUCUCCGCCUCCGAGCACCUAGCGACGCCAUUCUCGUCCAACGAAUUAACAAAUCCACACUCCAUGGGUAACACCGUAGACGCAUUUUGAGCAGAAAACUGACUCAAAAACCCUAAAUCACUAGUGCAAGUCAUCAAAGCUUCGUCAAUAUCACAGUUGCUGUCCACCAUAUCGACAUAGUUUCGUCCGUUUCCAAACCGCACCGGUCGGAGUUUACGGACAGGGGAAACCGGAAGGCGGUGGAUGUCCGUCGGAGCAAUAACGGCGGAUGGAUUCUCGUAAACGACGUUAGUAGAUUCAGGGAAAGGAGCAAGGUUAUCAGCGAAAGAAGUGAUGUCGUUUGAUGUAUGGCCGUCGCCGUCGAUGAGGGGUUCCAUUGUAGAGGUAAAAAAAAAAAAAAGUGUAAUAUAAAGCGGCGGCGGAAGGGAAAUGGAGGACUGGUAAAAGCAAAGUAAAAUGGGGUAAAAGGGAAAGGAAUCACCGAAUUAACAAUUUUUUAUUUAUUUUAUAAAAGUUUGAUCUCUUAUUUAUUAGGUGCCACAUGAUUUGCCUAUCUCCAAUUUCAACCGUGGGUGAAGGUUCUAAAAGCACUUCAAAUUGAUACUAAUAUAUACCAAACUUUUUUAUAAUGAUAUAAAUAACAUCACAUGCAUAAUCAAUUUUUAUGAAAAAAAUGUUAUUUUAGAAUAUGACUGACUGUUAUAGAGAAACACAAUUAAUAUAUCUUUACAAAUACUAAACAAAGUUAAAUAUGAAGAAAUCCAUCCAUUGCUAAAAUUUUCAUUCAACAAGAGAUUAUGGUUCAUGGAUUCCAUUCAAAAGCUGAAACAUUCAAUCCUAUCCUAUCUACUAAACUCUAGAUAUUCCAGCACAACUCAAAAGUACAACAAGCACAGUUUCUCUCUUUCAAUCGUGUAAUUUUUCACGAAUAAAAGGCAAUACAAUACGUACAAGUGAUUACAGGUAAAUUGACAUUAUUCCUCUGCUACUUUUCUUGAGUGGCCAUGAGUUGAGACCUUACUUCUAAUCAUUUGACAUUAUUAAAAGACAUAUGUUCACCUCUGUAUGGACUUGUAAAGUACCACUGUCACGUAUUUGGACAGGAAUCGAUUAGUUGAACCGAGUGCUACCACAGAUGGGGUACUCUUUCCCUUCUGCAUGUACAGGUGGUUAAGUACCACAUGUUGAGGUCUUGAUAAAGGAGGUGGAGAUGAUGAAACAUUAAGCAAAGUCAUUUGUAGAUGAGGUGGAACUAAAGGUGGCUCCUUGGCGUAGUCCUCUGCUCCAAAUUGCAAGUUACUGUAGCUGGAAUCUGGGGAAAGAGGAGGUUCAAAACCAGAAAUGCUUUCGAUAUCUUCUGGUACAUAAUCCUGCAUCAUGCAUCAAACAGCACAAUUUUUUGUCAAUUUAGUUUUUAAUCAACUUGUGACUUUUCAAAGCAAAUGGCACCAGGAAAUGGAAGACUUAAUGCUGUGAUCAUUAGGACAGUAUUAAGAAUAUAGUCCAAUGAAAGUUUGGGUACCGCGAAUGAAAAUAGAAAGUACUUUCAGACUAGCCGUCUAUGCUGAUAUGGUCAUACACUACGAAUAAAUGCAACACUUUUUUACCUUGCACAAUCAUCUAAUCUGCCUAGAUAGUUUUCUUCCAAGAUAAGUAGUUAAGCAACUGAGAUAGAGACAAAGAAGACUUGACAUUUUUCUAUAUUCAUGUUAUUUCACAAAUUUCAAGAAUUCAAUUGUCUCACUUAAUCAUAUUUAAAUUUGACGUGAUAUUUUCUAUAUCAAACUAACUUUUCACCUAUUACUUUCAUUACUUCUUCUCUGCUAUAUAUAAAGUAUGUCUAUAAAGUACACACAUCAAAUUUAGUAUCAUAAGUUUGAUAGCAUUUUCUUUUCUGUGACCAUUUUGAGUAGCAAUAAGUUUGGGGAUGGGAAGCAGGUGCUAAAGUAGGAUGCAUUCAUAAGCCAAGUUUCAAGCAGCAGCAGCACUGUAUUAGCUUCUUCCUUUCCCCUCUAUAAUUGGUACAACAGUAAUUUCAUAUCAAUAACAAGAAAGUAGUUAGGUUGGCUAUAUAUAUAUAUGUCUAUUUCACUCAAUUUGAGUCGGUUUCAUGCCAAUACUCAAGAUAAGAGUUAUAUAAAACGAGGGGUUCUCUAAAUCUUAGCCUAAUCCAUCUGGUGACAUAGAAAUCUCUUAACAAAAACGACUCCUAGCAAACCGAUGGGUCAAAUGUAAGUGUAUCAAUACAACUAGACCUAAAUCUCAAGUGUUUCGUAUCACCUAUAUGGAUCUUUUGCUUUCGUUGUUUUCUUUUGGAGAAAGGUAAUGGGUUUAUAUACAUGUCAGCACAAAGAUUGUGCCAAAAUUACAAACAGACUCAGUUCCUUUACAUAAAAAUAGGAAGUUGAAAAAAUCUAAAACCCUAUCCACUGAGUUGACUUCUUCUAGUCUACACCAAAAGCCCCAAAAAGACGGGCAUUUUUGUUUCAGUUUAUGUUUUUUUUCGUAUUUGCUUUUAAGACAUCUUUGGAUCUUUUUCUUUCAUUGGGUUCAACUCUUUGCUAAGUCCACAUGAGUUUGAAGAAACUAUGUUGCAUCUGUGAAAGUUAAUAGCAGCAAAAUAGCAUGUAAAUCAUAAUUAAAUUUAUUGAUGGCUGAAUCUUGAAUGCUUCUGAUGAGAAAUGGAAUAAAUAUAUUUUUUUAAAUAUAAAAGAGAAUAGUUUUGACAAAUUUGCUUGCGCGCAUGAAGCACAAUUGCUAUUGCUGUGAAUAGACAGUAGAGAAGAAAAGGAGGAAAAUAGAAGAAUUGCAGUGAAUGAAUCAACGACACAACUCAUAGAAAAAAGGCCUAAGUUUGGGAUACCUAAAACACUAAAGAAGUUACAAAGCUGCCUUAACCAAAUUUCUAUUAUUUGUAGAGAAGAGCUGGUCCCUCACUUUGAAAACUUCCUCAAUUCUCUAAGCAAGAUGAAAACAUAUAGAAAAGGCAUAGAAUAAGAUGAAUUAUUCGGUGUAGAUAAUUAGCUCUACCUUAAAUUUAACCAUAAACUUUCUUCUAUGAUUCUUAAUGGCUAUAGGGAGUGGGUUCAGGAAAACCUUCACCCAAUUUUUUUAGUCAGUGAUUUGCUUUGACAAAACAGAAACAUCUUCAGGUAUUUUACCUCAAGGGCUCUAACAAUUCACAGUUUGUGAUGCAUUGACACCAUAAUAUAACGACUGAGAAAAAGGCUAGAUUCAGUAUAUCCACCUUUUGGACCAAAACACUUUACAAUCUAUAUCCAUGCCAUUUUUGAACAGGACAUGGAUCCAUAUGCUGACAUUUCUUGUUUCCAUGAUGACAUUAUCACAGAGAAAAAAAGCCCAGGAUGGAGAGAUUUCCAUAGUUGUAACUCAACUCCCUUACAGUGUUCACUGUUCACAAGCCAAAACUUCAUUUCGGAAACUAAUAUCUUACAGUUGCAUAACAAAUAAAGAGUAUACUCUUCUUGGUUUGACAAGGUAGUUAAUCUGACUCAUAUUUAUGUUCACAUUGACAAAUAAAGCAAGGUUGUGUACAGACAAUCUCAAAGGCCCACAAUAAGUACUUAAAUUUUAAUAUUGUGUGUGUAUAAGCUACAUCCCUAUUGGACGUCCAGUUUCUAUUUUUGCGUUGAUCCUCUAAUAGAAAGAUACAAUAGAAACUAGGCCUGGAAUUCAAUAGAAUUCUUGAGAGAAAAUGGACUGAGAUAGUUUUGAGAUGACAAAUGUACCUUCACAUCCAAAAUAUUGUAAGUAUUCCCUGCUUCAUCCUGAACGCAUGGCAAGUCAGGGGAACACCUCCAUUGUCCAUCAACUAUAAACCUAUACUGGUAAACUCCAGAAGGAAGCACCUUCAAAAUGGUGAAAUCUUUCCCAGAUCUUUGCAAAAGGUUCCUGAGAAAUAGAGUUUUAAUUUUUCCGAGUCAACAUGCAAUCUUAAAGCUCAAAAAGUUGAGAACAGUCUUUUUCAAUGUAAAACGUGGAUGAAUAAAAUCAAGCAUAAAAAACCUUGAUUUCCAAUUAUCCCAUGAUCCCUCCACGGCAAUUUCUUUGCCAUCAUAGGUCCAUGAUAUCAGUGUGGGAACUCCUUGCUCAUCCUUCAAGUCUUCGUACCCUGAGGUGUUUUGCAUCCACGAAGGGUUUGAGAUGUGCAACUCCUCGGGUCUUUGUAAAGGGACUACUGGCAUCUGAGACAAAACAUUUCAAAAAAAAAACAAAUUCACAUAUUCCCUCUCAAAAAGAGAACCCCCCGGCCUAUAAGAAGAUCAACAUCCUGGACCAAGUUCUGAUAAGAAAUAAACACAACAUACAUAGAUGUAACCUUUCUUGCUAGGUAACUUAAAAUGCUCAUUAGUGCUUAACCUAAAGCCAAUUUUCCCCCAUCUAUAUUUUUCAAUCAUCCUCCAAUAUAUACAAAAGGUAGCACUUGCCAAUUUUCAGACAAUCUGAAUAUUGCUGUAAAACUCUUCAAUUCAAAUGCUGAAUUCCAUUAUGUGAGGAAACAAACAAUCAUUAACGUUUUUUUUAUUAUGAUCGCGGUGUCCGGGCUAGCUUUCGCGCACCUGGACUAGUUCCACCUCCCACCAACAUCAGGUACCACUUAAAGUUUAUUAACUGAUGACAAAACAAAUUUGUUCAAAGUAACAACCUUUCUUCAGGUUUAUCCAUUAAUUUCAAAGUACAAAUAUCUCCAGCCUAAAUCUACAUCAAAUCCUCCAAAAGAUCAAAUCUUUACAUCCAAACAAACAACCCAAUACUACAAUCAACCAAAAAAAACACCCCCUUCAUUUAUUUUUUUGUCAAGAACUGACCUGAGGUCUAAACAUCAAUGGCGAAUGAGAAGCCCUAGGACUUGAAGGUGGAGAUUGACCCAUGAAUUCACCAUCUCUAGCAUCCAUAGUUUCUUGCACCCCAACACCAGAUUGAUCAAUUUCUUCUCUUCCAUUAACAUUCCCCAUUAAAGUUUGUAUUUUUUUAAACAAAACUCAGAAAAGAAUCUACAAAAAAGUCAUUCCUUAUGUGUAACUAUAUAAACACGGUUUACCCACUACUUUUUUUAUGACAUCACAAUUAACUUUGACAUUAAUAAUGUUUAUGGUAAAAAAAGGAAGAAGAAUUAUGUUUAUGGAGAAUUGAAGGAAAGAAGAAUUGGAUUUCUGGUUCCAUUUAGAUUUUAGAUUAGAUUGAGUGCUGAUGAGUGAAGUGAGGAACACACCAGAAAAUAAUAAUAAUAAUAAUUUCAAGAAAGGUGAAAAUUAAUACUUGGUGCAAUUGGAACUAUGUUUUUUUCUUUUUUACUUCUUUAGUGUGUUCCCCAUUCACAUUAAAGCCCAACUAUUUUAAAUUUGCAUUUAGUCCCAACUUUGAAACUAUGUUAGUUUUGCACAAUAUCCUAUAAUGACUAAUUAUAUUAUAGUCUUUUUGUUUUGAUAUAUUUGUUUGAUUUUAAUUUGACUUAAUUUAAGAAGCUAAAAUCAAAAGUUGCUAUAAAAAAGGAAUGAAUUAAAAAAGAAAAGUAAGGCAAACAUACUGAAAUGAGUAAGUAAUUGUUAUUACUAUUCCAUCGAUCCCAAUUCACGAUUCAACAUUUGAAAUUCGUAUGAAUAAUGAAAGAAGUUUAAAGUUAAAUUAUUUUAAAUUACAAAAAUGUGACUAUUUCUUUUUUGAAAAUCGAUUAAAAAAAGUGUGUCACAUGAUUAAGAGUAAUUUUUUUCCCUUGAUGUAUACAUAUAUUAUAGUUAAAAACCAAAGAAAUUAUGUCACCUUAAUAUUUUAAUGAAUGAAUAAGUACUACAUCAACUUAUUUUAAAUUUUAUCAUAAAGAAAAAGAAAAGAGUAGUUUAUUUUAAAGAAUAAUGUUAUAACUACUAUAAUAAUUAGUCUUAAAUUCGUCAAUUAUAAAAUUUUCAAUUUAUUUAGGGUAGAAAGAGUAGUAACAGAGUGGUGGCCCAAUGAUGUAUUGGUUUCAUGGUGCUGGGUCCAGUGGACCUUAAAACUCAUUGAGUCACAUCAUUUGUGAAAUUCCUUUAUUCUUUUCUUUCCUAUUUUUUGUGAAUUUCUUCAUUUCUUGGAUUAAAAAAACAUCUACUAUUAUAGACUUUUCCAUUACUCAAAGGUAACUUCAAUCACUUAUUUUUAAGUUUCAAUGAUGGUUUCAUGAAUAAUGUGAAGUGGCUUUAUACAAUAUUGAAAGCUUUUUGCCAAUUGAGAUUAAGAUAUUCAAAAGUGAAAAUCUAUAAUAGUCUCAUGGGAAAUAGUUAGAUAAAUAUUAAGUGUGUAUUUUAAUUGAUAUGUAGAAUUUGAGCGGAAAAAAACUGGUUUUUCGUGAACCCAACACAAUAGUUUAGAUUCUCCAUUGAUCACUUGUAAGGUGAUCAUAAGUAAUACUUCUCCACCCCAAUUUAUGUGGCACUUUUCAUUUUACGAGAGUAACGGUUUAAAUUUGAUCGAAAAUUUGCGCAUGGAGUCUUCAAUUUUUUGAAAUGAAAUUUAUAUAUUUGUAAACUUCGUAAAAAGUACUAGAAGUUACAAUAAUUGAUAAUUCAAAAUGUUUAAAAGAUCUAUGAAAAAACCUACGGUCAAAGAUAGACUUGUUUGAAUAUCAAAAUCCGAAAAGUGCCACGUAAAAUGGGACGGGGGGAGUAAUAAACAUUAACUACAAUAACUUGAUAAAAAUGAUAACUAAUUAACGUGUUAUUAUAGGUCAAAUAAUACUGAUAUGUGAAAAUGUUUUUAACUGUUUGUUUAUAAUAACUUAAAUCAAAAUAAUUUUCCCUUUAAAAUUGUGGGUACGUGACUACUUUUUCUUUACAGAAAAUGUGAGUUAUUUAGCAGUUUGAGAAGAAGAUAACUAAAUAAGUAAAUGAUUUUUUAGAAGAAAACGGAAAUGGAACAGAACCCUUGAUGGUUAUAGCUAUGGGUGGCCGCAAGUGAGUGGUAAAUAUCCUUUCGUACUUAAUUAGAAAUCUCACAUUCAAAUUGUGAAUAUGACAUCACUUUUGAUAGAGAACAAUUUAUCCCUUACUUUUCAACGUGAAUAUGAAUUAGUCAAGCCUUAAGCGGAUAUCGAAUAGCAUGAAAAUAAAAAUAAAUAAAAAGUGUAUAUGGGUGGUUGUAAGUCUCUAUCAAAAAUUGAGUGCUUUUAGGGUAGUGAAAAUGGCAUAGACAUUUGGAAGUGUCAUUUUUUCUAAUAAAAGGGGCCCAGAAAGCAAAAAUAAGUUUGGUUUUACCACGAAGUAACUUGUACUAAUCACUUUUUUUACGUUAAAUUGAAAUACAGUUAAUGUUAUGAAAAUUUAAAUUUCUCACAUAACAUAAACACAAUAACAACACACUUAAUUUGAAGCUACACAAAAAUUGUACAUUGAUAAAAUUUUAACAUGCAUCACGAGUGCACAACUCAAUGUGUGUGACUAAAGCGCCAUCUCAAGAAAUUGUGCCAUCCCUUUUCUUCUUCUCUUAUCAUGGAUUAUACUCGUGAGCUAGCUUUCGGGGUCAGGUAAAUUGUCGGAGUCGUAUAAACGCGAACGCCAAUAUUGGACGAUGUUAGUGUGAAUGUUUUCCUUUUUGUAAAAGAAUGAUGAUGACAAUGUGAGUAGUCCUUUGGGAGAUGAAGAAUUUGAAUAUGGCAUAGAUUUGGAUCAUGAAUAUUAGCAUGGAGAUGAGAAGGGACAUCUAUUAUGAACUCUCCACUUUCAUUUGUUACAUUUUUGGCCCAUGAUGAUUUCCUUACCCGACCCGGCCCACUAGUUCCGCAAAACACCGCCACAGAUGCACCUGAUCAUCAUAUCAAUAUAUUCAGACCUUUUUAUAAUAACCAUAUCAUGUUAUAAUAACAGAACAAACGUACGAGAAAAAGUAGAAACUAACCUGGAACUGGAUAUGGCGUGUGACCACAAAGAAGAGUACCAUGGAGGAAAACAGUAGAGAGUUUUUCUUCACCAUAACCAGCUAUCUUAGCCAAUUCUUCUCUACUUGAAAGUUCUAUUAAUGGAUUAUUAAUUGCCCAACUUAUUGGCACAAUUAAUAGUAAGGACAAUAGUAUCACAAUACUUUCUUGGAUCAUGAUCUUUAAUAUAUAUGAUAUCCUUAAUUUGUGUUUCUAAAUAUGAUCAAUUAAUGUAUGUAUAUAUAUGGAAUGAAACGAAGAGACAAAUUAUAUGGAAAAGGUAGCUACUAUAUAUCUCAAUUAUAUAUAGAUUCUUUUAAUUUAAUUUGCAUAUAAAAAAAGUUGGAAGAUUAACGGUAGGUUGGUAGCCUAAUCUUAUCAGCACCUAUACAGGCAGACAAGCAAUAUUAAUUCUCUAAGGAGGCUCGUUUCUACUGGGGAUAAAGGAUAACUAAUCUCGUGAUUAAUUUUAUGAUGAAUUUAUUUCAUAUUUGAUUUGAAUAAAAUCGUGAAAUAAUUAAUCUCGUGUUAACUUGUUUCCAACCAGACACAUCCUAAGAGUUUAAUACAUACCUAUCAAAAUUUUACACUAUAUGUUCAGUUAGUUUUAUCUAUUAUAACAUGUAAUACUCCCUAUGUCCCUAAUUACUUGUCCAUUUUUCCUUUUAUAGUUGUCCCUAAUUACUUGUCCAUUUUGUUUGACAAAUCAAGAAAGGACAAUUUUUUUUACCUAUGAUACCCUCAAUUAAAUGACUAAUUUCUUUGAAAAAUGUAGUAUUUUUCAUCCACUUCAUAAUUAAUAGGGAUAAAAUGGUAAACUCACAAUGUCAUUAAUUGUUUUCUUAAUAUGUGUGUCAAUUCAAAAGUGGACAAGUAAUUAGGGACAGAGGGAGUAUGUCUUAUGAAUUAUAACAUGUAGAUAUUUUUUAAAUGUUAUGGUAAUAUAUAUUAUUUUGAUAUAUUAAUGUUAGUAGUUAAUGUAAUAGAAAAAAAUCGAGAUGUGAAAGAUAUAAAGUCAAGCACCACCAUUAAUUAUAGCUUUGGUCAACUAUUUUAUUGGGUAUUGGAAGGCAAGAAAACAAAUUACAAAACAGUUGUGACUCAAUCCAUGACUGAAUUUAUUAGUUGAACGAAUCACAGAAAAUAAAAUUAAUAAAACCACAAUGGGAAUUUUGGUGGGAUUGGUUUUGACCAACUACGUACGUACGUUAUUUCUUUCUUUGUUGACCAAAAUUGAGUUCAAUAAAUACUACUAAAACCAUUUACUAUAAUGUAUUCAUUUUUUAGUGGGGUUGGUUUUGACCAACUACCUUAUUUAUCUUUUCUUUUUAAUUAUCAUAAAAAGUUUUACUAGUAUUUCUUUUAGAUUUUAGUUUGGGUUGUUAAAAGUGAGUGAACAUAUUAAGUUAAGUUUCUAUCUCUCAUUAAUAAUAUCUAUUCAAUUAACUUCUCAUUAUGUAUAUAUUUCAAUUCUAUCAAUGAAAGUUGUGUCAAAAUUCUUCAUACUCCCAACAACAGAACAAUUUCAUAGGAAUAUGGACAACGAUCUAUUUUUUUAAUAAGCGAGUAAUAAGAUAAUACGUAUUAAGGGAAAAUAUAGUUGAAGAACGAAAUAGGAAGAAAAUUAACUCAGGGAGAAGUAGUGACUGCAUUAUAAUCAAAUCAUUUACACAACACAAAAAGCUAUCAUCAGUUGAUGGACUUGUUUGAACCUCGAAACACUAAAACUAAUUAUGUAAAAACCAUUCAUUCAUUCUUGUUGUUGUUAUGCCUAUUUGAAAACAGGACAUCCUUGUACUAUAAUCCCAGGAGCUGUUGGACAAGUUGCUAAGGGACAAUGAUCCAACUCUGUUCCCCACCAUUUCAAGUUUUUCCCCUCGUUUUGCAACGCGAAAAACAGUAAAACACCCAUAAAAGCUGUUCCAGCAUCCAACGCAGCUGACAGAACGUAGUUGUAUUUCUUCCACCACUCUUUUCUGUAUUUGAACACGAAAUAGUUGAAUAUCAUACCUGUUAUAAGCCAGCUAGCGAUAUUUGUUGGUGUGGCUGGUGGCAUUCCCGCGAAACCAUAUGAUAUAACAGGUAUGUUGAUCAAUGGGAUCCAUUUCUUUUCCGGGAACAUUUUGCUUAGCACCCAAAUAGGCACCGGUAGCAAUGCACCUAUGAGGAAUAACCAUACCAAAUUCCUAUAUAAUCCUCCCGGACCAAAUAACCGUUCUGGUCCAAUUAGACCCCAUAUGACAGAUGCAUCAAAUGUCACUCGGAAUUUAGGACAGGUCCAUGGGCUGUCCGGAUGAAGAGCCUCAACGUCACAAAUGUUAUCGAUGCUUCCUAGCAUCCACCAUGCUACAGCAAGGUUGAUUGUACCAGCAACCAGUGUUCCCACGAGCUGGAACAUGGGAAAUAAAUUGGAAACUAUGACAUCUUUGCAAAUAGUUCGAGUAGUGACAAACAGAGAAAGAAGUAACUAACCUGAGCUGUGUACAUGCAUCGUGGCGGAAUUUUCAUGUAGUGACCAAGUUUGAGAUCGGCUAAAAAGGAGAGAGCAUGAACAGUACUUGUCCGGCCAUAGAUUUUGAAAAGCAAAUUCGCAAUUGGUUUUCCUGGGAGGAUAUAACCAAUUAUGAACUGUGCAAUUAUGUCAUAUCCGGGUUGCUGCAAUGUAAUAACAAUUAUUAUGUCACUGAAUCGAACUUUUAUAAGGUCAAAAUCGAGGCAAAGAUUAUUGAAUAGCACUUAAGCAAUUAGGAAAAUUGAAUUGAGCCUUCACCUGAUUGGUAGUCGCUUGAAUGACUCCUAUAGGGAGAGUAACAACAAAAGCAAGACCAAAUGCAAACAACAAGCCCCACCACGGCAGCUGCACGUCUUCUUUCCACACAAAACACAUCAGAAGUGAUAGGGCUAUGCUACCUACCAAUAAUGCAAGGAACCACCACUGAGGGACUUGCUUGUAACUCUUCAUCAAUUUUGCAUGAAUAUCCAUUUUGACAUUCUUUACAGCUGAUCUACUUUGCUUCCAAAUAUCACUAUCCCAGUUGAAAUGAAACAGAUUGUCAGUUCAAGAAGACAGGUGACUACUAUCAGUUGAGUGACCUUCUCAGAAAUCAACUUGUUAUUUCUCUCUUUAAGAAACAAUGCCAUUUAAAUUGCUUUACAUAACUCUAGUCAUCAAACUUCAACGAAUCUCAUUUCAUUUUCAAGAAUAAGCGACAAGUUCUAAGAAAUUUAAAAUGACAAGAUACAAGUAUAUAACACUUAAUGAGAGGCUAACCUUCCAUGAAAUAGUGCAACAUGUGUGAGGGUUGCUGUAAACCUUGCAAAUCCCGAUCCGAUUGAGAGGGCAAACAAAGGACUGAGGUAGAGCUUGCUGUACUUUUCAUAAGCAGCAAUGUUGAGAUCAAAUUGUGGAGUCAAGAUUUUAGUGGUAUCGUAUUUGUGCCCACUAGCUGUGAACAACUGAUUUGAAAAGAUAGGAAACUUUUGAGCAUCAAAAGUGUUGUACUUCCAGUAACAUAGAGGAAUAAUGAUGUAUAUGAACAUGAUAAAUCCAACGGCAACAUUUAGAAUUGAGGACCACGGUGUCACUAGUGGACUGCCAUGAUAAGCUGAUAUGCCAGCCCAAUCAAGGGUAAAAGCACCCACACCAAGGCCAUGAUAUCCCGAGCCAAUUUGUUGAGCUGUGAUACUAUGUGGGUACGCCCAACAGACCCACGAGAAGAAGGUCAAAAUUGGGAAUAGAUAGCCUGGGAGAGCGUAGUAUGCAAAGCUUGCAGCCAUAAAUACAAGGAAAAACUUCAUCCUUGUCAAGCUUCUUGUUUUUGGUUCCUUUUCGUGAAGUGCCCUGUUGUAAGAAAGUCAUAAAUGUAAAGAUGGAAACACGAACAACAACGAUGAUAUUUAAAUUGUGGAAUUUGGUCACUUGUUUCUUUUGUUGCAUUUGGAAAAAGCAAAAAAAGUUAUUUAGACGAAUGGACAGCCAUAGCAUAGUUACAAAAGAGAUCAGGCGAACCUGAAUAGAGAAACUUGAGCAAGGUUUGAUGGCCACCACAUAUCCACAGGGUCAACGAGGUAUCUCCUCAACAUUCCUGCCCAUCCAUACCCCAAUAUCUGUACAAAAUUCAUAACUAUCAGAAAUAAAUUCUUUCCAAAUUUACGGAAAAUGUUCUUUUGUAAACAUUUUUGUCGAUAAAAUUACUCCAAUGUUUGGUUAAUUAUCUUAGAUUGUGGAAAAUGUUUUCUUCAAACGAAAAAACUUCCGUCAAAAUGGAAAAAAUGACAUUCUUGUUUGUUUGCGACUGUAACGUACCAUUACAAAUAUCAAAUUUUUACUUCAACUAACCAUCAGACACUUUCAUCAACCUCUUAUGCUCAGAAGUAUCACAAGUACUAUCAUCUUCAUAUUAAUAUAUGUUGAAUACAUUUAUACCCAACCAAAUACAUGAAAAUUAUCCAAAAAAUUGUCCCAAGUGUAAAAGUUUUCUCUAUACCAAAUGCAUGAAACAUAAAUUACAAUAGCAAAGAUUGGAACUUCAAGACAAAGAUAUUAGAGCCUGUUUUUUCAUACAAAGUUUGGAAAAGUGAUUUUAACCAUUUUUUUAAGUGAAUCUUUUUUCUUCCACUAACAAAACUUUUUUCAAGUCAAAUGCAUGUCCAAAUACACCUUGAUAUCCAAAUAUCUAAACUUUUUUUGAAUAGUACUUUUUGUUCCCUCAAAUAUCCCAGUUUUUUUGUCCAAACGCCUACUUGCACUAUAGUUUCAAACGGUGUGCUUAACUUCAACGCUUUCCCCUUGUCGUUUUGUUUUGUUUUCUAGUGACCAACUCAAACUCAAAUCAAACACUUGAAGGUUGCAACAACAACACAUCCGGUAUACUUUCACAAAAUGAGAUCUGAUCUGAGCAGGAUAGAGUUUACGCAGAACUUACCCCUCCUACCUCAAACUCAAAUCAAACACUUGAAGGUUGCAACAACAACAUAUCCAAUAUAUAUACUUCCACAAAAUGCAAUUUAGGUAGGAUAGCCCUUCAAUGGAAAAUUACACUAUUUAUACACUCAUAAAACUACCUUUUAAAUAUAUACAAUAAAUGUCCAACCCCCUUUUAAUUUCUUCAUGCAUUUACUUCUUCAUAUUUUAAAUCAAGAUAGUAAAAAUAGUGGCUCCGCCGCUCCCUCAACCAUUCAAGACACAAAAUUCAAUGUAAACUUGAGAUUAAAGAAGGUUGAAAAAAAGAUAGUACCUGAGUAGUCAAGACAAUAAUAAGAGAACAGAGGAAACUGACACUCUGGUUAUAAUAAGCCCUCAUAACAGUAAUAGCUCCAAUUGAAUAAGCAUCACCACCUCCAAUGGAAACUCCACAAUUCGCCAUAACAGUAAUAACAACAUGCUCUUUAAUAUUAAAGGGUCCAGGAUUCAAACUAAACGAACCCCAUCUCCCAAAUAAAGCAAAAUUCUUCUUCGGAAGUGUAGCAGCCAUGAAUUUCCCAAUUGGAAGAACAGCAAUUUGCAUUAAAAUAGCUGAAAUUGUUAAUGGCUGAGUUCUGUAAAUGAAGAAAGUGUUUAGGAAAAUCAAGAUAGUGCAAGACGAGAGCCCCAGAAACCAUGCCCGGAAUGUCAUUACCGGUAAAGUUGGGUCAUCGGUUUCCGGGACUACUAAAGCUACCUCCUCCACUGGACAUCUGUCAUCGUCGGAGGAGAGUGUGUCUCCGUUAAGCUUACCGCCACCGUCCGCGGCGGAGAGCGGUGGUGGUUGGACGGAGUUUUUUAAGGACAUUGGAAGUGUGAAUUUUGAAACACUCAGCUAAUACUCUGACAAUGCUCUGUACUUUGAUGUCGUUAUAUAAGCCUGUAGGGAAGACAAAGUUAGUUACAGUAUGUAUUAUUACUAAAAUACCCUUUAUCUAUAUGUAACUAAAUGGCGGGAUCGGAAUUUUCACCAAAAAUAUAAUACUCAAAACAACAGUACUAUUGGAGAAUCAAUAUUCACCUUGUUGGUGAGAAUUCCAUUGUCAUUUUGUAAUCCGCUUCCCCCAUCGCAAGUUUUAAAAAAAAGACAAGGUAUUUGAUGUAAUAUAUUUAUUUAUAUAUAGACAUACUCAAAGACGUUCGUUUGGACAUAGAUUUUUGUAAGAAAAAACAAACAUAAACAUUGUUUAGAAUUUAUGACCAAAUCGUUAGUGUAAUUUUUUAAAAAUAAUUACGUAAUCUUUAUUGAAGUAUACCUUAUUCACACUGAACUUGAGAAAUUAGAUUGGUAAGUUGUUGCUUUCGUUGUAAUUUUUUCAAAAUACUCGUCUCCUAAGGUUAAAAAUGACCAUUGACUCAAGUCUUUGAUUUGAAAGGACAAAUUAAAUGAAUUCAAUUAUUUACGACAAGUAUAUGAAUAUGUUCUUGGAAGCUUGUGAGUUGUGACCUUAAUGUCUUUAUCUUGGAACAACAUUUAUAAAAGAUCUAAUAUUAUAUUACAAGAUAUUAUUAUUUGGAAGAAUGUUUUAUGGGUUCAACAAUAAUUUAGGCCUCUAGAAUCUCUGUUUUGCAUACGUAUGGGACACAAAAAGUAAUCAUACUUAAUUAUAAACUUCUUUAUAAUCCCCACGCUAGCUCAAUUAUACAAUAAUCAAAUCAAAUAAUUAAAUACAACUUCCAUCUAUUUAACCAGAAUAGGAGAAAUUUUUUCCAUGUUACUUUGCCUUGAAAUUCAUCAAGAUUUUCUCUAUAUUUAAAACUCGAAAAUUUUAAAUGAAGGAAAAAAUUGAAAUGAAGAAUAUGUAACAUACCUAUAUGAGCCAAGAACUAUUUCUUCUUCUUUUAUUUAAUUAAAAAAUAUUUUAAUUUUGACUUUGGAAGAAAAAGUAAUGUGCAUUUUCAAUGGUAUAUAUUUAUAAAUAAAAAAAGAAAAAAAGUGGACCAAUAAAAAUGGGGAAAAGUGGGGCUUGGGUGAGCAUGUGAUUCUCACGUGCCAUAUUGGUACUGACACACUCUUUACCCAUUCUGACAAAAAAGCUACUACGUUGUACACGUGGUUCUUCAUUUGGGACCCACUAACCGUUCCACGUAGGAAUGUGAGCCUACGUGUAAACUAACGGAGAAAUGAACGGCGUUAAUGGUUUCAUUGGAGUUUAUUUACGAACAAGGUUUUCAACGUUGGGUUGACCGUUAAUUAUGACACGUGUAAAGAGAAGCAUGUGUGCUGCCCACAGAAAAACAUAGGAAAUCAACGUUAAAAUUAACUUCACUUAAAUGUUCGCCACGUAAGAGUAAAUUUAUGAAAAUGGUGCUCCACUAUGUAUUUUUUAUUACUCCUAAUUGAAUGGACUACAAGAGUUUGAAAAAUGAAAAAGAAUUGUCAUUAGCCUAUCAUUUUACUAACUUAGAAUUUCUUGUUUGAACUUUAGAAUAAAUAAAAACUCAUGUUCAUGUGUGGUGAUUAUCAUAAGCAAUAACGGAAUCAUAAUUUUUAGUAGCGUCAAUUUUUUUUAAAAUACACUAAGAAGCUAGGAGAAUUCAAUACAUAUAUAUGACUCUGCCACGGAUCAUAGAUGCAGUAAAAAAAAACAAUACUUAACGAAUUCUUGGUGUAAGUUUGAAAAUUGAGAUGAACCUAUAAUAUUAAGUAUGGUUUCGAACGAAUUCAUAACUUUUCUUUGGACCUUUUAUUUGGAUUAUGAAAUCUAUUAAUUAAUAUAUAUAUAGAUAUUUAUUUGUGAAUCUGUAAUUAGUUAACUAGCUAGUUAUAUAUAUAUGAUGUUAUAGAAUAAAGUUUAUAAUUCAUACAUUUAAAAUUUAAACUUUGCUUAUUUUAAAUUAGCUAGGACGCAGAAUACUAUUGUACAAUUUUUUUGUUAUGCGCUUAUGAAGGUUACAUUCAUUCAAAUGUAGAAAUACCUUUCGAACCGAUAAUCAUCUUUUAUAUGUCAUUAACUUGCUCGGUUUUUCAAAAUGAACAAGUGAUAGUACAUGAAUAUUCACAUAUAUAUAGCCCAUCAAUUAUGCUUUUUUUUUAUGAUCUUAAACCCUUACUCGCUCUCCGUUGACAAAGUAAAGGAACUCUUAGAUUUUUGGGGCAUUAGAUUCUCAAUCACUAUACAAAAAGAUAACAAUAGUAGCCAGAGAACAAUAAGGAGGAUAAUAGGAUGAAUAUGAUCUGUUCAUCGUUAACUAAGUUUCAAUUUGAAUUGUACGUAUGAAAUAAAUUCUAUCAAUAUAUGUUUUCCCCUUAAAUGACCUUAUGUGGAGUACUGAAUUUAAAUUAGGUUAGACUCCAACACGAGAAAAAAUAACACAAGUAGGGGGUAGUGAUGUGGAAGAGUAUAUAUUAAGACAGGAAGAUGGCUAAGGACCUAUCGUUUGAAAUUUAGUGGUGGGACUAAAACUUAUUCACUAGACAUCGUAGCGUUGAUUUUUCUGCACUCCCACUGUUACUUGCACAUAUGUGUACACGUAUGUCUCCUCUACUUUAUUUUUGAUGUUCGAUAUUUAUUUUGUGAUUUCGAUUAACUUAUCACAAAGUAAUAUUCAUUUGAAAAUAAAAUGUAUACAGUAAUAUAUAUUUUUUAAUUCACAAAACUCGAAUCAUUACAAAGAUAUUUUUUCGCAUACAAAUAGUUAGUGUGGUACGUAACCAUGAUUAAUCGUGAUGGUGUCACCAAAUCUUCAACCCAUUUACACGACAAGUUCUAAUUUCAUUUUGAAUUACUUAAAAUAUAUUCCUAACCAUCUUUAAAAUUCAAAAUCACUAACUAAUUCAAUUUAAUUCAGUUUUAAUAAUUUCUUAUGCGCAUGUACACUUUUUAUGUCUUAUCAAAUACCAUCAUAUAAUAAAACAACGAAUCAAAGGCAUGCAGAUAUAAAGAAUCAUAAGUUACAAAGUCAUGUAAACUCAUUAAAUUUUCUCCAAAACUAUGUAUAUUAAUCAGACAUACAAUAUUGAUCUUUUAGUGUAAACUGUAAUUUUCACUAAAAAAAGGAAGAAAGAAUUUUGUAAAUAAAAGAGUAGGAAAGCUCAUGAAUUGGAUAACAGCUGGAAGAGGUGGAAUUUUGUUUGGAAAAAACUCCUUGUAGUCUUGUGAUAGAAAAUGACACAACAAUUUAAUUCUUUACUACUUUUUGGCUUCAACUCCGUGACAUCACAAUAAUAAUGUAUUAAAGUUCCGAUUAAAUUUGAAUUGUUGUCAGAUCCAUUUGAAGGUGACGCUCCCAACAAAAUUUUCUCCAUAUUCAAAGCUUGAAUUCGAUAGUUCUGAUUAUAUUUGUAUCUCAAAAAUUACUAUCUAUCUAUAAUGUAAAUUUCACUUUGGAUCCACCACUACUUCAAAAGUAUAUAAUAUAAUGUACCCAUAUAUUUUUAGCAUAUAUGAGAAAGUGGCGGUCCAGAAAAUAAUAUGUUUGUUGCCUUCACACAUGUGUUUGAAGGAAAUGUAAGGGAAUUGAUUCAUUAGCAUUUUCUCAAAAUUUAACCAUCUAUUCUACUACCAUAAAUCUAGAAUAAUAAUGAGUGACAAAAAAUAACCAAGAACCUUCUUUAAAUGGCAACCAAAACAAGGGUGUAGUUUAGUGCUCAAUGAACUGAAAAGAACUAUACGAUUUCAAGUUACUCUCUCUGUUCCUAAUUACUUGUUCAUUUUUUUCUUUUUAUAAUUGUUCCUAAUUACUUGUUCAUUUUGACAAAUCAAGAAAGGACAAUUUUUUUACCUAUUAUACCCUCAAUUAAAUGAUUAAUAACUUUGAAAAAUGUAGAACUUUUCAUCCACUUCAUAAUUAAUAGGGGUAAAAUGGUAAACUCACUAUGUCAUUAAUUGUUUUCUUAAUUAGUGUGUCAAUUCAAAAGUGGACAAGUAAUUAGGGAUAGAGGGAGUAAAUUUUAAUGGAGAUCGACAAACAAAAACUAAGUGAGUGAUAUUUUCACACAAUGCUCGAAUGUUGUAAAUAAAAUUAAUUACCUAAUAUUGUUAGUAAUUAGUAUAUACUUGACUAAUAACUUUUUGGACAAUCAAGCUUAUGGAACAAGGAGAUAGGGCAUAUAUCUUUUUAAAAUUCUUUCUUUCCUUUGCCUUAACAUGAAGUGGAGAUACAUAUGUAUUUGGAACUAAUGUGGAGUUGUUGGCACAUGCAAGUUUCAAAGGGAAACUUAGAAAAAUUUUGACAAAAUUGUGUCACUUUAUAAAAUAAUUUUCUUCUAUUCCAAUUAUAACGAGUCGAGCUAGGGUUAGUCUAUUUUCUCUUUAUGAGGGAACCUUUGAAAAUGAGAGAGAAGACAAAACUUUGUGUCGAGUUAUUCAAUCCACAAAUUAUAAUGAGUGAGCUAUCUAGGUGAGACCAAAAGUGCUCAAAAAAUUAAAGUGUAUAUAGUGUGUAACAUAUUUUCAUGUAGUAAUGAUGAUAUAUUUUACUUCACCUUUUUUAAUGCCAUGAGCAUCCUCUUGCAUCGAUUGUCAAACUCAAAUUUGAAGAAUGUAAGAAAUUUGUCAAUCUCAAAUCAGAAAUCGUCUAUAUAUCUAUUCACAUAAAGGUAUAGACAAGGUUAUUAUGUAUAUCUUAUUGUCUUCGGAUUUUAUUUAUGAAAUUAUACUAGGUUUAUUGUUAUAGUCGUAAUAAUUAAUAUUAUACCAACAACAUUAGUAGUAGUAAAAAAAGGGAUCAGGAAGCAGGGACAAAGGGAAAUGUUGCAAGUUGGAAAGAGCAAUUUUGGAAUCUUAAAAAAGGUAGUAAUCAUCUUUUUAUUUUAAGUAGGAAAAAGGUGAAUAACUUUUACCACAAAAAUUUAGAACAAAACAAAAAGCAUCUUAAAAAAAGUGAGCAUAUUUAUCCCAUUUAAUUAUGCUACACGGUACGUAGCAUUUGACUAACAAAAGAAUCCAAGUGCGUAUAAUUAAUAUUCUCCAAUUUGACACCAACUAAUCAAUGACAAGAACCACAAAAAUAGCCAAAAAAUAUCUAUGUUUAAAAAAAAGUGUUAUGAGUGAAAGUGCUAACAAUUCAAAACUCGUUUAAGUUAGUUUUUGAAACUUGAAAAUAUUUGAAGGUCAAAUUAUAUGAUUGUAUAAAUAUUUAAAGAUAAAUUUUAAAAUUUAUAACUAAACAAGCAAACUCUAGGAAAGUACUUGUAAUUAUAACUCGACUUUUCCUCUUAUAUAUACUAACUUACAAAAAGAAAACAUUUUGUUAGGCAUUGACUAUAAUAUGUGGACAUUAUUAUAACUUUAGCAACAACUUGACUGUGGAAAAAAAUGAAGUGACAAAGGACUAUAUCAAAAGGGUUGUGGUACUUUUCAAGUGCAAUAGUGAAGUUGGAAGGGGAAUGGAUGCAAUGAGAAGAAUUUGGUGGAAAAAUUAUGAAAAAGAAUACAAAAUAUUUAAGACUUGAAACAAUGUAUAUUAAAAAGUUUAUUAUGCAAAUAACUAAGGAUAUGACAAACCUUUGAAUUUUCAACUUAAAUAUAAACCGUGGAAAAAUUUCUAUUGGAUAAACAAGACCAAUUGUGUAGCUAAGAGCCUAAGACUAGGGGUGUACAUGACCGGGUUGAUUUGGGUUUUUCAAAUAUCAAAUCAAACCAUUUGUGUAAAAAAAAUUAAUUUAUAAACCAAACCAAACUAAUAAUAUUUAGAUUUUUUCGGGUUUUUCAACCUCGGGUUGGUUCGGAUUUUUCAAAUACCAAACCAAACCAUUGUGUCGAAUUUUUAAAUUUAUAAAUCAAACCAAACUAAUAAAUCUCAAAAAAAUUCAGAUUUUUGACUAAACCAAUGUAAAACUAAAGAACAAAUAUUCAAUAUUAUUGUCAUUCUUAGUGUUGAAUUGAUUUUCUUUUUGCAUUAGUAUUAACUAGUGAACUUCUCCGCGCUAAGUUUAAUAAGUAUUAGUUACAUUACUAAAUAUUUAAGGAAAAUUAAAAUUAGAUUAUGUAUUUUAAUUGUCUAAACCAAUGUAAAACUAAAGAACAAAUAUUCAAUAUUAUUGUCAUUCUUAGUGUUGAAUUGAUUUUCUUUUUGCAUUAGUAUUAACUAGUGAACUUCUCCGCGCUAAGUUUAAUAAGUAUUAGUUACAUUACUAAAUAUUUAAGGAAAAUUAAAAUUAGAUUAUGUAUUUUAAUUGUCUAAACCAAUGUAAAACUAAAGAACAAAUAUUCAAUAUUAUUGUCAUUCUUAGUGUUGAAUUGAUUUUCUUUUUGCAUUAGUAUUAAUUUGAUUUUGAUUUAAGUUUUAUUAUAAUUAUCAACAUCUAUGAACUAUAACCUUUAUUGGACCAUUCCGAAUUCUAAGUUUUAAACUUGAAAUAAUAUAUUAAAAGAUAAAAACUAUGAAAUAGUAUAAGAAAUAUUUUAAAAUUAUAUCAAAGUAAAUAUUUUUAUGUAUAAAAUAAAAUUUUAAAAUUACAUAUAUAAUGUCGGGUUGAUUUUUUUUUAGUUAAAACCAAACCAACCCAAAUAUAGUCGGAUUUUUUUUUCAAUACCAAACCAAGUCAAACCAAACCACUAGUCGAAUCUUUUUCUCUGUUUGCGGUUUGGUUUUGUACACCCCUAGCUAAGACUAGUUACGAAUUAAACUUGUUUGAUAAUUCAACAAGUAUAUAUAGACGGGAAAAAAAUCUUAAUCAUCAAUUGUUCACGUUUAUUAUACGUAACAAUAUAAUAAUUAUUAGAGUAUAUUGAAAAUUGGUGAAGUAAAAUUGAAUUGGCCUGAAAAAUAAGUUACAUUAGAGAGCAAGCAUGAGGAUUGUCAUCACUGAAAAUUUGAGGAGAAUAAUUAGCAUAGUACUCCAUGUUGUUGUAGUUGUACUUUUGAGCCAAAUUAUAAUUCUUUAUAAUUGUAUCUUCUUCUUCUUCUUCUUUUUGCUUCUCUUCUUCUUCUUUUUUCUCUUGAAUAAUAUUAUUUACAACUGAAACUUGUUUUCCGCUUCUCUUAUACACAUCAUUAACUAGCUUUUCUGGGUUGAUAUUGACACCUUUUACAAUAACUCGACUUUUUUCAACAUCUGUCGUAACACAUUCUACACCUGCAUGUAUCACAUUAUCAAACUAAAGUUGCCACAAACUAAUGUAUGCACAAAAUUAAUAUACAAGAAGGAUGGUCGUGUAUAUGUAGAGGCAAAGCUAAGAUGUUAAAGUUUAUGAUGAAUUCUGAAUAAAUUAUUUAUACGAUACCUUUUAUUUUGCGGAUUUUCUUCUGCAGAACUAGAGCACAAGCAUCACAAUGCAUUUGAACGUUCAACACAAGUGUUACUUCUGGAAGAGGCUGUUAUGUAUAUGUAUGUAUCACACUUCCAUGUUAAUUAAUUCAUCUAAUCAAUUAAACAUAGUUAUCAAGAAGAUGAAAAUAUAUGUAUAUGAUUAGGCAGGAGUAUGUAGUACAUACAAAUGAUCAUUAAUAAAUACAUAUAUUAAUUGCACUGGUGACAUACAUCCCAUUUGUCUAAAAUGUAGGCCCAAAACAUCUCAACAACAAUUGAAACAUGAAUUCUACUUAAUUGUUCUCCAAUUAAACCAACCCAAAGGUACACUAUUAAUUUGGUGUGAUAUUAUCUGUCUUGGCCCGAUCCGUAGGGAUUCACACCAUUAAAAGUAUAUUUGUUCUUUACAUCAUGUAUACUGAUUCUUUUUGCGUACGUGCACAGGCAAACACAUAACUAAUAUUUCUCGAACCCUUUACUUAUAUUGUCGUAUUUAUAUAAUAGAUCUUCCAAAAAUACAUAACGUACUAUUAGAAAAUUCAAUAAAAAUUCCGAUAUAUAUAUAUAUAUAUAUAUAUAUAUAUAUAUAUUUAAAGACUUCGAAUAACAUNNNNNNNNNNNNNNNNNNNNNNNNNNNNNNNNNNNNNNNNNNNNNNNNNNNNNNNNNNNNNNNNNNNNNNNNNNNNNNNNNNNNNNNNNNNNNNNNNNNNNNNNNNNNNNNNNNNNNNNNNNNNNNNNNNNNNNNNNNNNNNNNNNNNNNNNNNNNNNNNNNNNNNNNNNNNNNNNNNNNNNNNNNNNNNNNNNNNNNNNNNNNNNNNNNNNNNNNNNNNNNNNNNNNNNNNNNNNNNNNNNNNNNNNNNNNNNNNNNNNNNNNNNNNNNNNNNNNNNNNNNNNNNNNNNNNNNNNNNNNNNNNNNNNNNNNNNNNNNNNNNNNNNNNNNNNNNNNNNNNNNNNNNNNNNNNNNNNNNNNNNNNNNNNNNNNNNNNNNNNNNNNNNNNNNNNNNNNNNNNNNNNNNNNNNNNNNNNNNNNNNNNNNNNNNNNNNNNNNNNNNNNNNNNNNNNNNNNNNNNNNNNNNNNNNNNNNNNNNNNNNNNNNNNNNNNNNNNNNNNNNNNNNNNNNNNNNNNNNNNNNNNNNNNNNNNNNNNNNNNNNNNNNNNNNNNNNNNNNNNNNNNNNNNNNNNNNNNNNNNNNNNNNNNNNNNNNNNNNNNNNNNNNNNNNNNNNNNNNNNNNNNNNNNNNNNNNNNNNNNNNNNNNNNNNNNNNNNNNNNNNNNNNNNNNNNNNNNNNNNNNNNNNNNNNNNNNNNNNNNNNNNNNNNNNNNNNNNNNNNNNNNNNNNNNNNNNNNNNNNNNNNNNNNNNNNNNNNNNNNNNNNNNNNNNNNNNNNNNNNNNNNNNNNNNNNNNNNNNNNNNNNNNNNNNNNNNNNNNNNNNNNNNNNNNNNNNNNNNNNNNNNNNNNNNNNNNNNNNNNNNNNNNNNNNNNNNNNNNNNNNNNNNNNNNNNNNNNNNNNNNNNNNNNNNNNNNNNNNNNNNNNNNNNNNNNNNNNNNNNNNNNNNNNNNNNNNNNNNNNNNNNNNNNNNNNNNNNNNNNNNNNNNNNNNNNNNNNNNNNNNNNNNNNNNNNNNNNNNNNNNNNNNNNNNNNNNNNNNNNNNNNNNNNNNNNNNNNNNNNNNNNNNNNNNNNNNNNNNNNNNNNNNNNNNNNNNNNNNNNNNNNNNNNNNNNNNNNNNNNNNNNNNNNNNNNNNNNNNNNNNNNNNNNNNNNNNNNNNNNNNNNNNNNNNNNNNNNNNNNNNNNNNNNNNNNNNUCCGAUAUAUAUAUAUAUAUAUAUAUAUAUAUAUAUAUAUUUAAAGACUUCGAAUAACAUAACAUUCCAUGCAUAACACAUUGAAUGUUGGUCUGACUCGUGAAUUCUCCUAGCUCCCAUAAACUUUAAUUCUUGAAUUCUUCGACUCCACGGUCCCUUUCUAGUUUCAUAUAUAUAGUAUAUAGUUAAAUGUACCCAGUAGGUACCCCAAAAUAUCCUCUUGCUCCAAAAUAAAACAUUGUCCAUCCUAGCUACAUUAUACUAUUUUUUUUCAUUUGUUACCAUGUAUAGCCUAUUUCAUUUUUAAUAAGAUGAAAAUUUAGAUAGUCAACCAACUAAGUUACAAAUCUGAAGCAAUAGAGUCACAAUCUUAAUUAAAUAUUAAUCAAAUUUGAACAUGCAUGAGAUUUCCAAGUUCAUAUGACUCGAUCUUGAUUAGUCAGCUAAAUUCAAGAAAUAAUAUAUAGUCUACCGAAAAUUAGAUGGUUAUAGAAAAGAACAUAAAAUAAAUCAAUGUGCAAGUAACAAAUUAAUGAGACAAGAGAUAAUUAAAUCACAAGUCAUGUGCUUAAUCUUAAUUUAAUUAACUAAUUAAUAGUAAGUAAAUUAAAAUAAAUUACCUCAUCUUUUUUCUCUUGUUUGGGCUCUUCUUCUUUCUUAAUUUCUUCUUCCUUUGUAUUUUCUUCAAAUGGCUUUGUCAUAUGUGAAAUAAGUUCAACUUUUCUACCACUUUUCCUUUCCACCCUUUCACAUACUUUAAGUGGAUCUACAUUUUUGCCUUUCACCACCACCCUACUCUCCUUGUAAUCCAUCGUCACUUCCUCUACUCCUGCGUUUCAUUUAAAAGAUAAUUACAGAUAACGCUACUAUAUAUUUAAUAAGUAUGUUUUUUUAUCGUUGAUGCAUAUAACUCAAAUCGUAAUAAACUAUACCAAAAAACAGCAUUGAUGUACUAUUUAACACAUAAAGUCAUAAAGCUGAUGUCUUUGGUUGGACUAUAGUCUUUGGUUUAUUGAUGGUUUUAAUAAUGUGUUACUUGUGAGUAAAUUAAUUCUUGAAUUGGAAACGUGCAAGGGAUAAGGGAAAUAAAAUGGUUUAAUAAAUUAAUGUCUAGUUCCAAAACAAAAAUCUUUAAAAUUCAAAUAAUUAAAAAAAUUGGAAAAAUUAGAGAGAAAUAAGACCUUGAAAGCCUUUCAAGGCUCUAGCAACUUUUCUAGCACAACCUUCACAGUGCAUAUCAACUUUUAGCACCAUCUCUUGAGCCUCUUCUUCUUCCCUUUUCUCCUAAGAAAUAAAAACAAAAACAAAAAAAACCCAUUAGAGUACCUACAUACAUAUUCAUGGGCGGAGUUACAAGCCUGUCUACGUAUUUGAUAAAUUUUGUAAUAUCGACUAUAUAUGAUCAUGUAUUUAAUUUGUACGUAAGAAACUAAUUUAUUCAGAACCCAAUAAGCUUUCUUUUUCUUGAAUUUAGAACUUAAAUCUUAACUCUCAUCUUUAUUUACAUAAGAGGCAAAUUCAUAAUUUGAAAUUUAUGAAUUCCUACAGCAAUCUCAAGUUAAUAUACAAAUAAUAUUUGAAUUUACAAUCAAUUUUGUUUGUAGAAAUGUAUUUGAUAAGAUUUUUAUAUAUAUACACACACGUAGAAUCUAGAUAAUAUUCUCAUAAAGUACUCAUAUGUUGUACUCAAGAUUUGCCUCGGCCUAUACAUUGAAAUAUACAACAACAAUAACAAUAUAUAACCAGUAUAAUUUACAAGGUGGGAUUUGAAAUGGUAGAGAACACAUAUAUUUCUACCCUUACGGCCAUGUAACAGUAGAGAGCUGGUUGUUUUUUCAGUAGACCUUCGACUCAAAAAUAUAAAUUUUGUUAAAGAGUAGAAACUUACCUCCCCCAUCUUUAUACAAUGCUGAUUUUCGAAUGAAUAUUUUCAAACUUUUUUGCACUUCAAAAUUCUAGUUUUUGAUGAGUCUGUGUUUGUAAUUGUCUCACUGCUUGUAGUGGGGAAAAACAUUUAAGUUGAGAGGUGGAGAGAAGCUGACAACAGUAAAAUCUGACGUGGAAUUUCUUAAAUUGCAUUUUACUUUCUCCGACCCAAAUUAUUUGUCAUGUUUCUUCUUUUUUUUAGGGUUAAACUACAUUACCAAUUAAAAAAUACUAAUUUUUUUUGUCAUAUUAAUAUGCGAAGAAUUGCAAUAUAUAAUGUUUUUAUAUAGUUUUUGAAUAUUAAAAUAUCAAAUUGAUUUAAUUUAAUUUAACUAUAAAUAUUAGUCAAAUUAUCUCUUGAAAACAAAACGUAACAAGAAUUUUGUGACGAAGGAAGUAUUGAUGGUCCAAUUUGCUGAUUCAGCAUCCUAUCAUUUGUCCUAGCUGUCCACUAUUGAUCAUUAAUUUACGUUACUUUUUCCCUUUUAAUCUCCCAUUUAAUUAUUUGUCUUUUUAAUACUCACUACUUUUAAUUCCCAUCUUUGUUUAAAUGGAUUAGCUUUUUAGCACGCGCUUUACGUAUGUACUUCAUAUUAAUGCGUAUAUAAUUUUAUGAAAGCUACAUAUAUUCGAAAAUGAUGCAUUUUUAUUUUUAUUUUUGGAAUACAUAAUAGUUAUAAUAAAACAUAAAUAAAUCAAAUAAUAAGAUUAGACUAGCUAAACGUAAAAUGUGCAAUUCUGAUAAUUCAACAGUUAACUUACACCAAUUGACAAAACAAUUUGUCUUUCACUAAUUUAAAAUCUUGAAUCUAAUUGUCUCUAAUAUUUUGUUCGCCAAAAAGGCCAAUUUAAAGUCUAUGCUAACCAUAAUAAUAAUUGUGAAAGAAUAUUUGAGAACCCAAAGAGGCCAAAGAAAUUAGUACGUACACAUUAGAUAUGACAAAGGAAGAAUACUUUUUGGAUAUAGAAAAUCUCUAAAUUAUUAGAUGAAUGUAUCAAAUGUCCCUUUUUUCAAUUCCCUAAAUAUGAAAAUGAGUGAAAAGAACUAGAAAAGGAAACAAAAUACAAAUGAAAAUCCAAAUCAAUGACUUAGAGGAUGAUGAUCAUCAAUCAAAGUUAGAGAAAAUAAUAAAGGCAUAAGAGAUUCUUUAUCUUCAUUUACAAUUUGAAUAAAGAAAAGUGAUAAGAGAUUCGUAUCAUUAUUACAUUUUUGUAUUAUUGUUUACUAGUUAGUGACCAUAAAGUCUCAUAGUACUUGAAUCUCACCAAAGAAUAAAUAUUAAGUGAUUUUUUAAAAUAAAAAUUGUUCAAGCUUUGAUAGACAAAGUUAUCAGAUAUUUGUACUGAUAAUGAUAAGAGAUAGAUUGCACUCGUAGAAGUAAUCAAGAUGCAUGCAAGAUUAAAAUAUAUUUUUUUACUUUUAAAUUUCAUGUCAAGUCAAAAUAAAAUAAACAAAUUGAAACAGACUAGAGAAAAUCAUUUUCUGUAUGUGUGAUGGGCAUUGAUGAAGUGACAUGUGUGGUGAUAAAAUGUUGUUAUAUCCAUGGUUAUCUGGUCUUUGGUACAAUCAAACAAGUCCUUGCUAUUUUUUUGUGCAUAAUUCAAAAUCUUUUUUUAUUUUUGGAAAAGAGAAUUUUGAAGGUGAUUGAUUUCUCAACCUUUUGUCUUGUUGUAAGCAACUUGAUGCCUCUAUAUGGUUACCAUUCACCACUAUCAUUACAUUGCUCACCAUUGUGCUUUUUCACUCAAAGACAAUAUAUAUAUAUAUACAAAUUUUCCGUCAAUUGAUUUUGUAGUCUUUUAUCAAAUUAUUUCAAUUUUUACAUUUUUUUGAGAAAAUUAUAUAAAAUAGCAAACUAUUAAUUAAUUCAAAUUAAAUGCUAUAACCACAGUUUGCUUUAAUUGUAACUCGUAGCAAACUGUUGCCAUUUCGUCUCUCUCCCUGAAUUUCUCGCUCGCCACUCUCGUUUCUCGUUAGGCAGUCUCUCCUCGCCUCUCUCACUUUAUACAAACACAAAUGUAUAAAAUGUGUUUGUGUUUGUAUAAAGCGAGAGAAAAUUGUAUAUAUACAUAGCUUUUCUUUCCCCUCUCUCCCCUCUCCCAGAUCUCGCUCACCACUCUCCCGGAUCUCACUCGCCACUCUCACUCGCCUCUCUCACUUUACACAAACACAAAUGUAUAAAUUGCGUUUGUGUUUGUGUAAAGCGAGAGUAAAUUGUAUACACAAAUACAAAUACAUAUAUUUUCAUCCUAUACACUUGUGAUUAUACAAAUACAGAUCUUCCCUUGCCCAGUUUUCUUUUGUCUUUCUCUCUUUCUCUUCUUUACAAACACAGAUUAUACAAUUGAUUCUUUUGUAUAUGUAUACCGAAACAGAUUAUACAGUUGCUUCUUUUGUAUAUGUAUAGCAAAAUAUACAUAUUAAUAGCCAUAGCAACCAUAAAGUUUGCUAUAGAGCAUAAUUAUGCAAACUAUAAUUAUAGCAUACAAAUAUGAUUUUUAUGUUUGAUAUAUGUGAAAGUUGCUCUUUUAUUUUUUGGUUAGAAAUUUUUAUAUUUAUAAAUUAUAUGUAAGAGAUCUUUGAAUAAUUAUAAGUCAUUUGAAUAAUUAAUAAUUCUAAAUAUUAAAGAAUUAUUAGGCAUACUUCACUAACAUAUAUAUUAUUAUUACUUAUACUUUUAAAAUAUUACGUAUCUUACCACUAAUUAAGAGUUUUUUUUUACGUAUCUUACACUUAGAUACAUGUAUUUUGCUACCAGAUACACAAAAAUAAGAAGAGAGGCAGCGAGAUUGAGGAGGAAGGCGAGCGAGAUUCAUAUGUAUCCAGAUAUAUGGGAGAUUGGUGAGCGAGAUGGGAGAGAGACGAGCGAGAUUUGCUAUGUAUCCAGAUACAUGCGAAUCCACUUGGAUACAAUGUAUCUAGAAAAAAUUACACCUAAAUUUGACCCAUGUAUCCGAGAUACAUGUAUCUGGACAUAUCCGGAGUUACCAAAAUCUGGUAAAAUACGUAAUAUUACAGACUAAAGUAUAUCUAAGUAAUUAACUUCUAAACCAAUGGAAUUUAUAUGCUAUAUGGAUAAGAUUCUCAUUAUGGGCUUUUGUGUACGAAUGUGGUACGAACUCUUGAUUUUAUGGGCCAAUUUAAUAGAACAAAAUAGCCCAACUUUAUGAAUGGGCCAUGGGAAUUCACUUCCAAAAUGAAAUACUUAAUGGACAUCCUCAACAGGUUACUUGCAAUUUGUAAAGUAUCUCUUUUGAUUUAGAUGUCCUACGUAAUUUUGGGAGACAUUAAUUUUGGUAUUUUACUUUACGAAGAAUCAUUUCAAUCAUGCCAAGAAUAACAACAUUUUUUGAAUAUUAGUGGUUAGGAUAAUAUAUUUAGAUUUCAUUGUUCUUCUUUAUCGUCGAUUCAUUUGGAUAAGAUUAAAUGAGAAUAAAGUAUCAAAUGAGGUGUAUAUAGAGACAUCAUUAUCAAAGAAAACAUGUUUGAACUUCAAGAGAUCACAUGUCAAACUUGUGGCGUUUCAAGAAGGUUUCAAAAUGUUUGAUAUUAGAUUUUUAUGCAAUCUUUCAGAACCUUCAAUAAAUUAAAUUCAUUAUACAAUUUAUAUUUUAACAUAAUAAUUAUUCCCUAUUAAUCUUCGUAUUCAAUCAAACACUAUCACAUAAAUUAAAAUAAUUUAGAAUUUGGCUAUAGAUCAACAAAGUUAUUAAGCCGCCCCUCACUUUGUAGUUAUGGAUUUUGAGUUUGGUCCCUCACUACCCACCUUGACAUUAAACUUCUACCUAAAAUAAAAGAAGCCCACAUUUUUUUAGUACUAAUGAUGUCGACCUUUGACUGUUCUAUAUCAUCGCUAUCAAUUUGGUUUUAUUUAUUAAUUUACUAAAUAUAUAAUUAUGGACCAAUUACUAUUAAAUAUUAAUUUCAGAUUGAUGUAGGAUGAAUUCAUAAACUUCAAAUCUUGAAUUCGUUUUUUGAAAUUAUUUGGUCUUUCGUAAACUAUCAAAAAGAUCAUGGGGUUAGACCUUCAAGGGUGUGACCUAGUAGUCAAUAAAUUGAGUUGAAAACCAUGAAUUGUAAUGGAGACAAUAAAAAAAAACUAUGUGAUUUCUUCUCAUAUGUCAAAAACUUUUGGUAAGAGAUAACAUAUACCUUUAAAAUUGAUAGAGAUGCAUGCACAUUAACCGACACACCACAAUUAUCAUUUUCCACUUACAACUUUUGUAAUUAGUCCAUUAUUUUAUGUGUCAACUAUGUUCAAUUAUCUUCAUUUACACUCUUUUGUAGAAGACAAAAAAGUGGAAAAGAUUUAUGAUUACAAAUUAGGUAAAAUUUAAUGACAAAUUAAAAAUUGAAUGCCUACAUAUAGCUAGCACCAUGUGGGGGUAGUACACCAACCCAACCAAUUUAGAUAAAUAUUUAAACAAAUUUCCUAACACAUAUAAAUAAUUAUUUGGAUCAAAACUGUUUAAUUUUACAGAACUCGAAAGGUACCUCCCUUAUUAAUGAUAAAAUGUAAAGAUUCUUUUCCUCCCUUGCUAGUAUUAUAAUUUAACAUGUUAUAACAAAUUAAUAAUCAAUCACUCUAUCAAGUUGUUAUGUUUAUCAUCAUAAAAUUUACUUCUAAUUGAUUAUGUAAACCUAGAUAAAACAGUUAAAAAUAAUAUGUGUUAGGUAUUAAUAUUGAUCGUUUCUUUCAUCUUUAAUCAGAGGUCUUGAGUUUAAUUCUUGUUAAAAUGAAAAAAAUCUUGUUGGAAAGGUCAUCCCACAAAUAAAAUUUAAUCAACUUCAAUAUAAAUAUUGAACAUCGAAUGAGAAAUCAAAAGAGAAUAUAUUUGCUUGGUAUGAAAGGGAUGGUGAAAUGUGACCAUCAAAGGCAGUACAUGGAAAUUGAGAGUAUAUAUAUAGUCAGCAAUUCUAGUGGCUGCCAAUUUAGAUGAUAUCAUGAAUUUUAACUUUCAUUUAAUUUUAAAGAUGUUUUCCUACUUUAUUCCUUCUUCUUCUUCUUCUUUUUCUUUUUUUUCUUCAUAAGACUUUUUGAUGUUUCAUUCAUACUAGUAUAUAUUUUCAUUAAAGCUACACUCUUUUCACUCCACACAAAAUCCAUUUUCUUCAAGUAUCAACCAUGGGGGGUGGAAAGGUAUGAAUUCACUAAUUUUCUGUAUUCGAAAAGAUUCUGAUCGAUCUAUCUAUAGCUAUAUGACGUUUGAUCAAGAAUUUAAUACAUAUGAUUGAUUAUAUAAUCGCACUAAAUUAUAUAGAUUCUGAAUUUUUGUUCUCCUAUUGUAUCUUUUCACUUCCAUAAAUACAAAAUAAUUUAGUUCAUUCUUGCAUAAUAUUGUUCACAAAUCUUUCUAUAAGAGCUUUGAUUAAUUGUGUGCUUACAAUUACUUUAAUUUAUUGUUUAAUUAUCAGACCACUAUCAUGGUACUCAAGGUUGAUCUUCAAUGUUCAAGCUGCUACAAAAAGGUCAAACAAAUUCUCUGUAAAUUCCCUCGUAAGUCUCUUUUUUCUUGAAUUCUUCAAUAUUAUAAUAUGAAUAAGAAUUAAUUUUUUUUUUCCUUUUUUUUUGUGGUGUCAAAUUUUUUUGGGAAAUAGAAAUUAGAGACCAAGUAUAUGAUGAGAAGGGCAAUACAGUCACAAUCACUGUUGUUUGUUGUAAUCCUGAAAAACUUCGUGACAAAUUGUGUAGUAAAGGAUGUGGAGUAAUCAAAAGAAUUGAAAUCAAAGACCCUCCGAAGCCCAAACCUCCUGAAAAGCCCAAAGAGCCCGAAAAGCCCAAACAACCUGAAAAGCCUAAAGAACCUGAAAAACCUAAGCCCAAAGAGCCCGAAAAGCCUAAACCCAAAGAGCCUGAAAAGCCCAAAGAGCCUGAAAAGCCUAAAGAGCCCGAAAAACCUAAGCCCAAAGAGCCCGAAAAGCCCAAAGAAGGUCCUAAACCUAAACCAGCUGCUCCACCACCAGCACCAGUGCCCGUAAUGCCAAUGCCAAUUCAAGAAUACCCACAACUGCCACACGGAUAUUGUUGUGGACAAUGCUAUGAAGGCCAAACCGGGGGCCCAUGUUAUCAAGGGUAUGGAAGACCGAUCCCUCCCCUGGGACAUUGUUGUGGAGAAUGCUACGAAGGCCAAACUGGGGGCCCAUGUUAUCAAGAGUAUGGAAGACCGGUCCCUCCGCCCCCGGGACAUUGUUGUGGACAAUGCUACGAAGGCCAAACCGGGGGGCCAUGUUAUCAAGGGUAUGGAAGACCGGUCCCUCCACCUCCAUGUUACGAUAACUAUGGGCCUGGGCCUUAUGGCUAUGGUAGGGGCUGUUAUGUGAGCAGAUGUGAUCAGUACUUUAAUGAUGAAAAUGCUAAUGGUUGCUCAAUUAUGUAAGGUGGCCCAAUUGUUAUGGUUCAAUGUCUAGGCUCAUGAAUGUGGGCUUCUAUUAAUGUGGUUGUCUUUUUUUCUUUACGAAUUGUUAUAAAUAAACAAUGUAUAGUUAAUUUUCUUUUGUAAAAUAGAAUAAAAGUUGCUAACUAGAUUGUUGGCAAAGCCUUGAUUGAUUAAUAAAUGUCAUUUUUCAACAUUACUAGUGGUCUAAUUUCUCAAAAAAAUCAACAAGUUCAAUUGAAAAUCCUUCUAAUUCCAAUUUGUGUAUCACUCAACUAAGAUACUUAAGUUUCCACAUAUAAUAAGUUAUAAGAUUAUUAUUUUGGUUGGAGAAAAAGAAGUAUUGUACGACUAAUUAAGCCCAAUUGUUCUAGAAUUAGAGUUAUAAGUCUUCAAUAUUUGGGACUUUUUUUUUGAAAAGCAACUCGUGGUUUGAUGUUGCAUUCUUUUAGCUCUCCAACGCAAUCGGUUAGGAAGUUAGUUAUUGUUGAAACUAUGACAAUAAGAAAUACAUUACAAACUACAGUUUGUAAAAGAUAAUAUGGGAAAUUUCAUAUCUUAUCAUAUGCUAAAGAUUUGAUGGGGUUUGUUUCGUGGCUCGAGAGGUGGAAUACAUAGGACCCCUCAAGUUUAAAAAUAUUCGUCGAAAAAUUUUCAACAUAAAAAGUGUUAUCUAAACCGAACAUGGAAUUAGUUUUCCAUCAGACAACUUCACAUUUGAGAUCGCCAAAUGCUCUAGAGUUAUUGUUCGUUCAUAUACAUCUUCUCUUUGUUUCUCGGGCCUAUAGUGCGUUACAAAUAUAACUCGAAAAGGUCAAAUCUUUGAUGAUUCCAUCGAAUUAAACUAUCUAUUCCAACCGGGAAGAACAAACCAUUCAACAAAGAAAAUUCUGAAAUUGCAUAAGCUUGAUUCGAUCCAGCCUCUAGAGUUGCGACAACCUCUGAAAAGGUAUCCUACGUCUGAACCAAAUUCAUAAUGAUAUUAAAGGAACUAAAUUUUGUCAAGAAAAAAAAUGGGGACACAUUUACUUGAAAUAGUUUUCAAAUAAAUAUUUGAAAAGUUUAGGGGGCAAAUUGUUCAAAAUGCUAAACUUUUAAGGGGUAUCACCUCUUCCAUUUCUCUCAAACACCAUAGUUGAUAAGGCAGGCGGCAACGUUAAAGCUUUGCUCCAAGAAAAUGGCGUCUACUCCAAGCUCUACACUUUCUCCUCUCUAUGAAUCCAAUAUCUUCUGCAACUUCAAUUCUCCCCAAAAAUUCACUUUCCCCCUCAAACUUCACUCCAAAUCUUGUAUCCGAACGACCCAAGUGUCACUUCAAGAACAAUCCCAGGUCUCAAAUCCCAAUAAUUCUCAAUACUCGGAUAGAAAAGUUGUUUCUUCAUCAAAAAGCAAGCUUUGGGUCAACCCCAAAAGCCCCCGAGCUUCUGAGCUGAAGCGAAAGUCUUACGAUUUUAGGUAUGCUUCUCUAAUGAAAGUAGCUGAGUCUUUGGAUUCUUGUAAACCUGUAGAAGAAGAUGUCUUUUAUGUUUUAGUUGAUUUGGGUGACACAAUAGUAGAGCAAGAUGUUGUUGUGACUUUGAAUAACAUGACUAAUGCUGAAACUGCGUUGCUGGCUAUGAAGUAUUUUCAACAAAGGUUGAAAUUGAGCAAAGAGGUGAUUGUAUAUAAUGUGACGUUGAAAGUUUUGAGGAAAAAUAAGGAUUUGGAUAGAGCAGAGAAGUUGUUUGAUGAAAUGCUUGAGAGAGGGGUAAAGCCUGAUAAUGUUACUUUCUCGACUAUUAUUAGUUGUGCUAGGCUGUGUAAUUUGCCUGAAAAAGCUAUUGAAUGGUUUGAAAAGUUGCCAUCUUUUGGGUGUGAACCCGAUGAUGUUACGUAUUCUGUGAUGAUUGAUGCUUAUGGUAAGGCUGGUAAUGUAGACAAAGCACAUGACUUUGUUACCCUAAAUCGAUUAUUUAUCAUUUUCAUCAAUAACCAUAUCAUCACUUUCAUAUUUACUGAAUGUUCCAUCACUACUUUGGUAUUCACGUAAAAAAUCAUGUAAUACAAUGCAAACAACUACUAUAGAGGGUGUUUUUGUAAAAGAUAAAAGUUUAGUGUAAAAUUUCAAUUUUCAAAAGAUCCCAAAUAAUGAGAUUUGACCCAAAUACUAGAAAAAAGUAGUAUUUGGAAAUUUGAGAUAUUUGUCAAAAAUAUUUGCCAAAUAAUGGCAAAUUGUAUGGACGAACACUAUUUGCCAAAUUUUUCGCCAAAUAUUAAUUGGGAAAUCUAUGGCCAAACGGGCCCAUAGAGUUAGGCACCACGUGGGGGCAGUGCACCAACCCAAUCAACAGGGGCGGCUCUACAGCUUUGCAAAAAAAGCAAUUGGCUUAGUCCCCAAAAUUUGAGGGGCCUCAUUUUUAAAAAAAAUAAUAGGUUAUAAGUAUUUUUUUUUUAAAAAAAUAUCGAGUAUUAUUUGUAGAAAAUAAAAACUUUUUAUAAAAGAGCAAAGAAGUAAUAGAAGUUUGACAAAUUAUGAAUAUUAUGUCUCAAGAAAGAUUAAAUAAUUGACAAUAAUAAACUUCAUAAAAAAUAUAUAUUCAAAUUUAAGGCCUCUAUUCGAAUUUGUCUUUAGGCCACCGAUUUAUUAGAGCCGCCCUUGCCAAUCAAUUAAGAUAAAUAUUUAAAUAAAUUUCCUAACACAUAAAUGAUUUGGAUCAAAAUUAUUUAAUUCUAUUGAACUCAAAAGUAUAUCCCUGCUUAUUAAUGAUAAAAUGUGAAGAUUCUUCCAUAUUUCCAUACUUAUUAGUAGGGCCAACUUAACCCAUAGGCCACUAAAGUCAUCGCUUGGGGCUUCAUAUAUUUUGGGGCCUCAUAUAUUUUGGGGCCCCCAUUUUUAAAAACAAUUACUUAUAUAUGUUAUUUGAAAAUAAUAAUUAUAUGUACUAUGAGUGUUAUGAUUUCUACUAAGGAAAUUGCAUAUGAGAUAAAAAUAAACUGAAUUUCGUAAGAAACAAUUUGAUGAAAAUGUGGAUAGCGAAAUCACAAAAUCCCUUGAAGAACCUUUUAGAAUUGAUUGUUUUAUAUAUGUAAAGUAGAUCAAACUAUUUUUUCACUUCAAAAUAGAUUUGAACCAAUUGAAACAUAUGGAAAUAUUUUUGAUUUCUUAUUUAGUGGUAAAAUAUUGAGAUCACUAGAUGAUGAGAAUUAAAAAAAAAUUGUCUUAACCUUGAACUUUCUUUAUCAUGUGUUAGUUAUUAUGAUAUUGAUGGUUUAGAUUCAUUUUUUGAAUUAAAAGUGUUAAGGGAAAUAAUACAAGUAGAAGAUCGUGAUCUAAUAAAAAUUCUCAAUCAAAUAAAAAGACUUGAUUCUUUUCCAAAUACUCAUAUUGCUUAUAGAAUAAUGUUAACAGUUUCUAUAACUAUUGCCUCAGCCGAAAGAAGUUUUUUGUGAAAUUAAAAUUGAUUAAAUCUUCUUUAAGAUCAACAAUGUCUAAAGAGAGAUUGAAUGAAUUAGCUAUAUCAUCAUUUGAAAAGAAAUUAUUAAACCAAAUUGAUUAUAAUACAGUAUCUAAUGACUUCACAUCUAAAAUAGCUAGAAAAGUAGAUAUUAAAUAAAAGUAUAGAUGAUGAAAAAAAAUUAGGGCUCCUCUCUUAAGUUUUGCUUUAGGCCCCCAAUGUUGUUGAGUCGUCCCUGCUUAUUAGCCUGUCAUGAGAGCAAUUUCAGCAUAAAUUUUUUUUUCCAGAUACUUCAAAUCUGCACCUGAUAUACCAUUAAAAGUACCCGCUAGUUCUGAUUUGAGUUUUAACUUGAUGGAAUUUUUCAGGUAGAUCUGAAAGGGAAAGGAGAGGGUUGGGAAUCCGUGGAGAGAGAAGGAAGAUAAUGUUGACUAUGGUUAAAUGGUUGGUUUUAGCAAAUAAUCUGAACCGUCUAUUAAUUUGAGGGACACGUGUAGCAAAAAUUAACCCCCAACUGGAGGAACUGCUCCAAUGGAGGGGAGCCAAAUCCGACCUUCGACUCAAAAAUAUAAAUUUUCUUAAAGAGUAGAAACUUACCUCCCCCAUCUUUAAACAAUGCUGAUUUUCGAAUGAAUGUUUUCAAACUUUUUUGCACUUCAAAACUAUAGUCUGUGUUUGUAAUUGUCUCACUGCUUGUAGUGGGGAAAAACAUUUAAGUUGAGAGGUGGAGAUAAGCUGACAACAGCAAAAUCUGACGUGGAAUUUCUUAAAUUGCAUGUUACUUUCUCCGUCCCAAAUUAUUGGUCACGUUUCUCUUUUUAGGGUUAAACUACAUUCACUUAUAUCAAUUAAAAGUAUUUUUUUUUUUGUCAUAUUAAUUAGAGAAGAAUUGCAAUUUAUAGUGUUUUUUAAUAUAGUUUUUGAAUAUUAAAAUACCAAAUUGAUUUAAUAUAAUCAUAAUUAUUAAUCAAAUUAACUCUUAAGAAAUGAAACGCAACAAGAAUUUUGAGACGAAGGGAGUAUCGAAGACACAGUGGUUCAAUUUACUGAUUCAACUUCCUAUUAUUUGUCUUAGCUGUCCACUAUUGGUCAUUAAUUUACGUUACUUUUUUUCCUUUUAAUCUUCCAUUUAAUUUGUCUUUUUAAUACUCACUGCUUUUAUUUCCUAUCUUUGUUUAAAAUGGAUUAGCUUUUUAGCACGCGCUUUACGUAUGUACUUCAUAUUAAUGCGUAUAUAAUUUUAUGAAAGCUACAUAUAUUACAAAAUGAUGCAAUUGAGUUAUCACAUUUUUAUUUUUAUUUUUGUUAGUUACUAAACAUAAAUAAAUCAAAUAAUAAGAUUAGACUAGUUAAACUUAAAAUGUGCAAUUUUGAUAAUUCAACACUUUUAGCCAUGGUUAACUUACACCAAUUGACAAACAAAUAGUGGAUUCAACAACAAUUUGUCUUUCACUAACUUAAAAGUCUUGAAUUUAAUAUUUUGUUCUCCAAAAAGGCCAAUUCAAAGUCUGUUAACCAUGAUAAUAAUUUUGAAAGAAUAUUUGAGAACCCAAAAAGGCCAAAGAAAUUAGUACACAUUAGAUAUGACAAAGGAAGCAUCCUUUUUGGAUAAACUCUCUAAAUUAUUAGAUGAGUGUACCAAAGGUCCCUUUUUUCAAUUUCCUAUAUAUAAAAAUGAGUGAAAAGAACUAGAAAAGGAAACAAAAUUCAAUUGAAAUUCAAACGCAAUAGUAGUUUGUUGUACAAAUCAAUGACUUAGAGGAUGAUCAUCAUAGUUAGAGAAUAAUAGAGGCAUAAGAGAUUCAUUAUCAUCAUUUACAAUUUGAACAAAGAAAAGUGAUAAGAGAAUUCUUAUCAUUAUAGUAUAUUUUUAGUAUUAUUGUUUACUAGUUAAUAACCAUAAGGUCUCAUACUACUUAAACCUCAACAAAGAAAAAGUAUUAAGUGAUAUUUUUCGAUUAUUUAUAUUAAUAAGAGAUGGAUUGCAUUCGUAGAAGAAAUCAAGAUGCAUGCAAGAUUCAAAUGUUUUUUUUUUUUUUACUUUCAAAUUUUGUGUCAAGUCAAAAUAAGAUGAGCAAAUUCAAACUCCUUGCUAAUUUUUUGUGCAGAAUUCAAUUUUUUAUUUUUUAUUUUGGAAAAGAGAGUUUUGAAGGUGAUUGAUUUCUCAACUUUUUGUCUUGUUGUAAACAACUUGAUGCCUCUAUAGGGUCACAAUUCACCACUAUCAUUGCAUUGCUCACCAUUGUGCUUUUUCACUCAAAGACAAUAUAUAUAAAAAUACAAAUUUUCCGUCAAUUGAUUUUGUAGUCUUUUAUCAAAUUAUUUCAAUUUUUACAUUUUUUUUUGUUAGGAAUUUUUAUAUCUAUACUUAAGAGAUCUUUGCGUGAUCUUUUGAGUGGAGAGGUUCGAAAUAGGAGAGUCGAAUUAUGAAUUCAAACAUAGGUUCUUUUAAAAAAUAAUAAUUAUAAGUCAUUUGAAUAAUUAAUAAUUCUAAGUAUUAAAGAAUUAUUAGGCAUACUUCACUAACAUAUAUAUUAUUAUUACUUAUACUUUCAAUAUAUUACGUAUUUUACCACUAAUUAAGAGUUUUUUUUUUACGUAUCUUACACUUAGAUACAUGUAUUUUGCUACCAGAUACACAAAAUAGGUAGAGAUGUUAGUGAGAUUGAGGAAGGAAGCGAACGAGAUUCGUGUAUCCAGACACAUGGGAGAGUGGCGAGCGAGAUGGGAGAGAGAAAAGGGAGGUGAGCGAGGAUUUCUAUGUAUCCAGAUACAUGCGAAUCUUCUUGGAUACAAUGUAUCUAGAACAAAUUACACAUAAAUUUGACCCCACAUAUACGAGAUACAUGUAUUUGGGCAUAUCUCUGGAGGCACCAAAAUCUGGUCAAAUACCACUACAACAAAAGCAACUUUUAACGACAAUAAAUAGACACAUUAAUAAAGAGUGCUAAAGUCUUUACCAACAUUAAUUAGUUAUGUGUCAUUAGAUUCAAUGUUGCUAAAGGCUCUAGGGACAUAUACAAAGAGUGCUAAUUGCCGUUAAAAAUACAUACUUAGUGGCAAUUGAGCUAUUGAUGUUAAUUAAUUACCGCUAAAAAUCUUUUUUUUUUAUAUAUAGUAUACGUAAUAUUGCAAACUAAAGUGUAUCUAAGUAAUUAACUUUUAAACUAGUGAAAUUUAUUUAAAUUCUCAAUGAGAUAUAUGGAUAUGAUUCUCAUUAUGGGCUUUUGUGCAAGAAUGUGGUACGAACUCUUGAUUUUAUGGGCCAAUUUAAUAGAACAAAAUAGCCCAACUUUAUGAAUGGCCCUGGGAAUUCACUUUCAAAUUGAAAUACUUAAUGGACAUCCUCAACAGGUUACUUAUAAAGGUCUAAUUCACUUCGUUGAGAUACCAAUUGUUGACACCCAAUUUUGGACCUCCACAAUAUAUAUUAAUCAUCGAGCUUCUUAAAUUCCAAACUAUUUGAAAUAAUUGAAUUUAUAAAAUUCAAAAUAUUUGCUAAGUUAUUUUAAAUAGUUUUGUCACAUUUUAUUAUUUUUAAAUAAUAUAUAUGUUUUAAAUAAUUAUGUAUAUAAUUAGUAUAUUUUAUGAAUAUUCGAAAUUCGUCUCAAAAGGAUUUUAGUUUUAGUUAAAUAUCUUGUCAACUAAUUUGGUUUAAGUAAUAGUUUAUAUUUUUAAAUUAAUUAAGUUAAUUAUUUUAUUUUGUUAAGAUUAGGAAGCUCGUUAAUGAAUACUAAUUUAUUUUAUAUAAUCUUUAGUCGGAUUCACUAAUAAAAUUCAAUUUGGCUAGAUUGUUAAUUUAUUUGCCUAACCUUUUAUUUGCAACUUUAGCCAUUAAUUUCCUCACCCCAAACCCAUUUGGGACAAACCAUUUUUGGGUCUUCCUUUAAAUUUCCAGCAGCCCAUCUCCUUCCCAGCCCAAAACUUUCAGCCCACUAUCUCACACCAUACAACAAACAACUCCAACCCACUUUCCAAUUUUCAGCUACCCGGCCCAAGCCCAUUUUUUUUUUAACAAAAUAUCCAGCAACACAACAAUACAAUACACAGCAGCAACAAACCCACUCAAAAACAGUACCCCACCGCCCAACUUCAUCUUCCUCGCUGAAAAUCAGCAAUCAACAGCCGCGACCCCACUGCCCAUAGCGUCUUCUUCACGCAGAAAUCCCGGCAAACCCGAAAAUCCAGCAGUAAAUUCCGGCGCGACAGUGUCCGCCCAUACGUAUGUCACCCUCACGUCCAAUCGUCCCCAUUUUCCCCAUGUUUCGAGGUUUCAGAGCAACAACAACUCUCUAUUGCUUUUACUGUUGCCUCGAAAAGGAACGGGGGAUUCAAAAUUCAAAUGGAUUUUACCCAAAAAUCAACCCUAUUCUGGACUUUAUUUAAGAUCCCUUUCUCGUUGUGUCUAAAAAGGGAGACGGUUUUUAGGGCUUGUUCUUUGACAAUACAUUCAAGAAAUUUUAAAACGAUUUUUCUAAUUCUAGGUUCUAAGAAAGGUUUCGUCUGAAGUUACUUAGAAAUUCUUGGUUUGCUACUUGAGUCGAAGGUGUGCGAGAAGUCCUCUUGCCAGUCGUCUCCAGUAUCGCUGCUCCGAAAAAGGUAAUACCCCCUUCCCUACGAACUUCACUAUUCGUUUUCCAAUGGUUUGCAACUCAUUUUGGUUAAUGAAGUUUCUUGGUUCUUAUUAAUAUGAGGUUCUCCUUGUACAUGAUUUUAAUAAAAGUACUUCAACUUUAUGAAUAUGUUAGGCAGUAGGUACUUACAUUGUACACUUCUUCCUGGAUUUAACUCGUGUGAUAGGAGCUUAGGAUGAAUAGGGUAAAAUCUGAAAUCUUGACUAAUAGAUGCCCUUCGUUCACUUAUUGAGAUGUAUGCUCCGUCAUGUGUGAAUUUAAUUAAAAAAGAUUGUACGUUGUUAGUUAACAUUGAUAUGAUCUUCACAUCCGAACUAAGUACGUCCGUAUCUUCAACAUGUGUUGAUUGAGUUUUUUUUUUUUUUCUUCUAUAAUGUUCCAGUAAGCUAUUUGUAUUUAAAUUGGAAUUUUACACUUGUUAGGGGUUGGGUUGUCUUAUUAUUAUUUUUUUUACCUUGUAUUGAUUCAAUCACUAAGCUAAAGACUUUUGACCCCCCUCCAUGCCCUUAGUGUUAAAUGUAUAUAGAUAUUUGGGUUAUGAAAAAAAAAAAAAGAAUGUACAGUAUUUGAUAUUAUCUCCACCAUUUUAUUUUCUUCAAAAUCAUAUGUUAAUUCCUUCACACAUAUAUACCAAAUUAUGAUUAGCUGUAGAGAGUAAAAUGUUGGACUUCUAAUGUGAAAAUUGAAUAUGGACUGAUUUGGUAUUCACAUGAUUUAUUUUGGUCUUGUUCCAGUGAAGAAAAUAGUAAGAAUUAAUGCUCCUACUUGUUUAAUUUGUUUUCGUCAUUUAAUUGUCUCUUAAUUUUAAGUCCAAUAGGUAGUGUAGCACUAAAUUACAAUUGAUUCUUGGUGCUCUACAAUUCAUUUCUCUUGUUGCAUUGUUCUUUUUCUAUCUUGGGCAGUAAGAUCAUGAUAAUGACUUCAUGGAUGAUGUGUUGUUUUAUUUUUUAACAUUUGUACAAGUAUAGACACUAAUCCUCUUCUUUGUUUUUUUUCUCUUCUUCUUUGUUAUAUGUGACAUCAAAUCUGAGUUCUCUUUUGACUCCACCCUUGCAUAUCGAUGAAUUAUUUCGAGUCAGCCUCAUCUUGUUCGAGUUGCUGGAAAGUUAAAUUACAGGUCCCGAAAAGUCGAAAGUGGGUUGUAUACAUGUUGUAUACAGCGGUAUACGCUGAUAUUCAGGCCCAAAACAUAAAAACACAGGGCUGAGGCGGAAUAUAUACGUUUGGAAGCAAGAAAUACCUGAAAAGAGCUAAUAUAUGCGCUCAUAUACACUGAUAUACAUCCACCGUAUACCAAAAACGGGAUUAGGGUUAAACCAAAAAUUACCAACGAAUUUGGCCCAAAAGGAGGCCCAAAUUCAUUUUCUCCCUUACUCUUUAAUUAUAUAAUUGUGAUUAUUUAUUGUUUAUUGUUUAACUCUAACUUUAUAAUCGCAAAUCAACUUAGUCGAAUUCCCCAAAAGACGAACUAUCUCUCUGUGUUGUUUUGUUUCUAACAAAAAUCUUAUUUUUAUCAACUUUUGUAUUUUCAUUUAUAAUCUUUAGUCAUUUUUUUUUAUUUAGUUUAAAAAUAGUUUUUUUUUUUCAUAAACCAAAAAAUGACUCGAAUAAAAACCAACUAAUUUAGUUUCGCUAAAAUUCUUAUUACUUGUCUCUAAAUCAAAUAUUUCAAUUAAGGUCCCAUUUUUCCUAAAAGAUAAAAUCGCUCUUUGUUUAACUAUUUUUUCAAAGUUAAUCUAGUAGUGUAAAUAAAUAAAUACUUACUUAGUUAUUUUCUCAAAAAGGUUAGUCAAUCAAUUCAAAAAUGAUUUUUCAUACUUUAAUUUAUUAAAUUGGUUUAAUAUAUUUUAAAAUGAACUAAAUAAAUUCUAAUUAGUCUAGUUUUUUUUUUUAUUUAAUUUUCUAAUCACUUGCACUUUAAUUCAAAUAUUUCCCUUUUAGGUCUCUUCCUCUAAAAAGAUAGAAUAAAAUGGUUCAUUCCUUAGUUAUUUUUCAAACUUAAUCAAAUAGUGUAAAUUAUUAUAUAUUUUUAUGUUAAAUUAUUUUUUCUAAAAAUAGUCAAAUAUAUUUUAGUCAAGUCGCAGGUCAACCGCAUGUUAGCGGACACUUCGAAUGCUUAAACCCUUCUCGAAGUGUAAAUUGAACCCCGAACCCUCUUUGGUAUUUUCAAAUGAUUUUUCUGUUUAAAUCUUUGAAAAUUAUAAGUUUUCUUAAUUCCUUUAAAAAAUUAAGUGGCGACUCUUUUCUAAGUAUUUUUCUCAAAUUGUUUUAUACUUAGAACAUUUCAAAAAAGUGAUUUUUCUGAAUAUAGUAAAAUUACGACACAACAACAAGUAUUUGUAAAAACUUAAUGUAUUAAUAUAUUAAACAAGAUAAAGUAUAACAAUUUAGCAUAUGAACACGAUAAUUUGAAAAAUGAAUACAUUGUUGUUAAACAAAAAUGAAUACACCAGUAUAGUAUACAUAUGAAUACAUUGUUGUUAAACAAAAGAUGGAUAUGUUUGACAAUACAUAAACAAAAAAAAAUGAAAAAUAAUAGAAUGUGUAGGUAGCAAAAGUGUGCAAGUAUUCGGCUGUAUAAAAAAAUGAAAAAAACCAACAAACGUCAAUCUCUUUUUGGUCAAGUUUUUCUUAUAAUACUUGAGGCUUGGUGUUGACUCAUGUAUUUGUUUAUAAAAAAAUAGUAUUAAUGUAUCCAAUUAUACUUGUAUUGCCUAAUUAACCUUUCAAAUUCGAUAGAUUACUUAUGUAUCCAAAUAUACUUGUAUUCACAAAUCACCAUUUCAACUUGUGUUAAUAUUAGAAUACAAGUAUCUAUGUAUAUAACUAUUCUACUAUAUACAAAUUUGACAAUCACACAAACCUCAAUCUCUUUUUGCUCAUGUUCUUCUUGUACUACUUUUUUCUUAUAACUAUAGCCAUUGUAAUGUAGAAACAAAUAAUUCUUCAAUCGAAAGCCUAUAAAAAUAGAUGCAAUAUAUAUGUAUACAAAUAUGAUCUUCAUAAAAACGAGGAGAAAAUCAAUUAAGCGAUAUCUGAUGAAUUCAAAUUACAAAANNNNNNNNNNNNNNNNNNNNNNNNNNNNNNNNNNNNNNNNNNNNNNNNNNNNNNNNNNNNNNNNNNNNNNNNNNNNNNNNNNNNNNNNNNNNNNNNNNNNNNNNNNNNNNNNNNNNNNNNNNNNNNNNNNNNNNNNNNNNNNNNNNNNNNNNNNNNNNNNNNNNNNNNNNNNNNNNNNNNNNNNNNNNNNNNNNNNNNNNNNNNNNNNNNNNNNNNNNNNNNNNNNNNNNNNNNNNNNNNNNNNNNNNNNNNNNNNNNNNNNNNNNNNNNNNNUAUUCUACUAUAUACAAAUUUGACAAUCAAACAAACCUCAAUCUCUCUUUGCUCAUGUUCUUCUUCUAUUUUUUUUUACAACUAUAGCCAUUAUAAUGGAGAAACAAAUAAUUCUUCAAUUGAAACCUUAUAAAAGUAGAUAAAAAUAUAAAUGUAUACAAAUAUAAUUUUUCAUAAAAACGAGGAAAAAAUUCUAUUAGAAGAUAUUUCUUUUCCUCAAAGACAGAACCAAUGGUCUAUUUUAUUAAACAAAAGGAAAUGAUACAGACUUGGUUUCAGCCCAAGUCAAAACAAAAAAAAGAAGAAGAACCAAACGUAACAAGAUAGCAAAGACAAAAUAAAAUAAAAAAGACAAAAGCUUUAAACAACCAUCGGAGAAAUGAGAGGUCACUGGAGAAGAUGAUGAAUUCAAAUCACAAAAAAUGAUCCUAGAGUUAUGUAAAAGAAUCUUAAAUUGGAAGGAAUUUGUGGGGGAAAUAUAGAAAAUUUGUGAUAAAGAGAUAUUGAUGAAAGAGAGUAUUAAUGAGGGUAAAUAUGGGGACCAAUCACAUAAAACGUGCCUAGCAUAACUAAUUAUGUGUGUAAUAAUAACUUUCCUAUUUAAUAUUUAAUAAUUUCCUAUUUAUUUAUAUAUAAUUAACUUUGCUAUUUAUUGUGUAAUUAUAUCCAUAUAACAUAAAAAAAAUUGUAGCUAUUUAUCUUUAAUGUAUAUUGAUGUUUGCCAUAUUCUGUAGUUUUUCCUUUUAAUUUAAAUAUGUUACGUAAUUUUGGGAGACAUUAAUUUUGGUGCUUUACUUUACGAAGAAGCAUUAAUCAUGCUAAGAAUAACAAUAAUUUCUGAAUAUUAGUGGUUAGUCAAUCAUGCUACAACUAGGAUAAUAUAUUUAGAUUUCAUUGUUCUUUCUUAUCGUCGAUUGAUUUGAAUAAGAUUGCAUGAGAAUAAAGUAUCAAAUAAGGUGUAUACAGAGACAUCAUUAUCAAAUCAAACAUGUUUGAACUUCAAGAGAUCACAUGUCGAACUUGUGGCGUUUCAAGAAGGUUUCAAAAUGUUUGAUAAUAGAUUUUUAUGCAAUCUUUCAGAACCUUCAAUAAAUUAAAUUCAUUAUACAAUUUAUAUUUUAACAUGAUAAUUAUUCCCUAUUAAUCUUCGUAUUGAAUCAAACACUAUCACAUAAAUUAAAAUAACUUAGAAUUUGGCUAUAGAUCAACAAAGUUAUUAAGCCGCCCCUCACUUUGUAGUUAUGGAUUUUGAGUUUGGUCCCUCACUACCCACCUUGACAUUAAACUUCUACCUAAAGUAAAAGAAUCCCGCAUUUUUUUAGUACUAAUGAUGUUGACCUUUGUCUUUUCUAUAUCAUCGCUAUCAAUUUGGUUUUAUUUAUUAAUUUACUAAAUAUAUAAUUAUGGACCAAUUACUAUUAAAUAUUAAUUUCAGAUUGAUGAUGAAUUCAUAAACUUCAAAUCUUGGAUUCGUUUCUUGAAAUUAUUUGAUCUUUCCUAAACUAUCAAAAAGGUCACAGGGUUAGACCUUCAAUGUGUGACCUAGUAGUCAAUAAAUUGAGUUAAAAACCAGGAGUUGUAAUGGAGACAAUAAUAAAAAAAAACUAUGUGAUUUAAUUUCUUCUCAUAUAUAUGUUGAAGACUUACUUGGUGCAUGUGUUGAUAAGAGAUAACAUAUACCUUUAAAAUUGAUUGAGAUACAUGCACAUUAACCGACACACCACAACUAAUCAUUUUCCACUUGCAACUUUUCUAAUUAGUCCAUUAUUUUAUGUGUCAACUAUGUUCAACUAUCUUCAUUUACACCCUUUUGUAGAAGACAAAAAAGUGGAAAGGAUUUAUGAUUACAAAUUAAAUUUAAUGUCAAAUUAAAGAUUGAAUGCCUACAUAUAGCUGGCACCAUGUGGGGGUAGUACACCAACCCAACCAAUUUAGAUAAAUAUUUAAAUAAAUUUCCUAACACAUAUAAAUAAUUAUUUGGAUCAAAACUGUUUAAUUUUACAGAACUCGAAAGGUACCUCCCUUAUUAAUGAUAAAAUGUAAAGAUUCUUUUCCUCCCUUGCUAGUAUUAUAAUUUAACAUGUUAUAACAAAUUAAUCAUCAAUUACUCUAUCAAGUUGUUAUGCUUAUCAUCAUAAAAUUUACCUGUAAUUGAUUAUGUAGAUCUAGAAAAAACAAUUAAAAUUAAUGUGUUUUGGUAUUAAUAUUGAUUGUUUCCUCCAUCUUUAAUCAGAGGUCUUGAGUUUAAAUUCUUGUAAAAAUGAAAAAAUCUUGUUGGAAGGGUUAUUCCCACAAAUAAAAUUUAAUCCACUUCGAUGUAAAUAUCGAACAUCGAAUGAGAAAUCAAAAGAGAAUAUAUUUGCUUGGUAUGAAAGGGAAGACCAUCAAAGGCAGUACAUGCAAAUAAUUGAGAUAAUAUAUAUAUAGUCAGCAAUUCUAGUGGCUGCCAAUUUAGAUGAUAUCAUGAAUUUUUGAUGUUUCAUUCAUACUAGUAUAUAUUUUCAUUAAAGCUACACUCUUUUCACUCCACACAAAAUCCAUUUUCUUCAAGUAUCAACCAUGGGGGGUGAAAAGGUAUGAAUUCACUAAUUUUCUGUAUUCGAAAAAGACUUUGAUCGAUCUAUCUAUAGCUAUAUGACGUUUGAUCAAGAAUUUAAUACAUAUGAUUGAUUAUAUAAUCGCACUUAUAUAGAUUCUGAAUUUUUGUUCUCCUAUUGUAUCUUUUCACUUCCACAAAUACAAAAUAAUUUAGUUCAUUCUUGCAUAAUAUUGUUCACAAAUCUUUUCUAUUAAGAGCUUUGAUUAAUUGUGUGCUUACAAUUACUUUAAUUUAUUGUUUAAUUAUCAGACCGCUAUCAUGGUACUCAAGGUUGAUCUUCAAUGUUCAAACUGCUACAAAAAGGUCAAAAAAAUUCUCUGUAAAUUCCCUCGUAAGUUUCUUUUUUCUUGAAUUCUUCAAUAUUAUUAUAACAUGAAUAAGAAUUAAUUUGAUUUUUUUCCUUUUUUUUUUCGUGUCAAUUUUUUUUUGGGAAUAGAAAUUAGAGACCAAGUAUAUGAUGAGAAGGGCAAUACAGUCACAAUCACUGUGGUUUGUUGUAAUCCUGAAAAACUUCGUGACAAAUUGUGUAGUAAAGGAUGUGGAGUAAUCGAAAGCAUUGAAAUCAAAGACCCCAAAAAGCCCAUAAAAACUAAUGUUGACAUCAUUGAAAAGCCUACAGAGUCCGAAAAACCUAAGGUUGUCAUCAUUGAAAAGCCUGAGGUUGUUAUCAUUGAAAAACCUAAAGAAAUCAUAAAGCCCGAAGAAGUUCCUAAACCUACACUAGUUGCUCUCGUAAUGCCAAUACUAAUUCAAGAAUACCCACAACCGCCACACGGAUAUUGUUGUGGACAAUGCUAUGAAGGCCAAAUCGGGGGCCCAUGUUAUCUAGGGUAUGGAAGACAGCCUAGGCCUGGGCCUUAUGGCUAUGGUACGGGUUGUUAUGUGAGCAGAUGUGAUCAGUACUUGAAUGAUGAAAAUGCUAAUGGUUGCUCAAUUACGUAAGGUGGCCCAAUUGUUAUGGUUCAAUGUCUGGGCUCAUCAAUGUGGGCUUCUAUUAGUGUGGUUGUCUUGUUUUCUUUACAAAUUGUUAUAAAUAAUAAACAAUGUAUAGUUAAUUUUCUUUUGUAAAAUAGAAUAAAAGUUGUUAACUAGAUUGUUGGCAAAGCCUUGAUUGAUUAAUAAAUGCCAUUUUUCAACAUUACUAGUGGUCUAAUUUCUCAAAAAAUUUAACAAGUUCAAUUGAAAAUCCUUCUAAUUCCAAUUUGUGUACCACUCAACGAAGAUACUUAAGUUUCCACAUAAAAUAAGUUAUAAGAUUGUUAUUUUGGUUGGAGAAAAAAAAGUAUUGUACGACUAAUUAAGCCUAAUUGUUCUAGAAUUAGAGUUAUAAGUCUUCAAUAUUUGGGAUUUUUUUUUUUUGAAAAACAACUCUUGGUUUGAUGUUUCAUUCUUUUGGCUCUCCAACGCAAUCGGUUAGGAAGUUAAUUAUUGUUGAAACUAUGACAAUAAGAAAUACAUUACAAACUAUGGUUUGUAAAGGAUAAUAUGGGAAAUUUCCUUUCUUAUCAUAUGCUAAAGAUAUGAGGGGAUUUUCUUCGUGGCUCGAGAGAUGGAAUACAUAGGACCCCUCAAGUUUGAAAUAAUUCGUUGAGAAAUUCACAUGAAAAGGAACGAGAAAUUUUCAACUUAAAAAGUCCUAUCUAAACCGAACAUGCAAUUAGUUUUCCAUCAGACAACUUCACAUUUGAGAUCGCUAAAUGCUCGAGAGUUCCUCUAUUUAAUCAUUUUCCUUCUUUUUGUUACUGAAUAUCUCAUUCAUACACAACUUUUCUUUAUUUCUCGGGCCUCAAGUGAGUCACAAACAGAACUCGAAAAGGUCAAAUCUUUGAUUCCGACCGAGAAGCACAAGCCAUUCAACAAGGAGAUUCUCAAAUUGCAGAAGCUUGAUUCGAUCAAGCCUCUAGAAUUGUGAUAACUUCUGAAUAGGUAUCCAACGUCUGAACCGAAUUCACAAUGAUAUUAAAGGAACUAAAUUUGUCUAGAAAAAAAUAAUAGGGAAUCCACAUUUACUUGAAAUAGUUUUCAAAUGACUAUUUCAAAAGUGUAGGGGGUAAAUUGUUCAUAAUCCUAAACUUUUAAGGGGCAAUAUGUCAAUCCUUUUUUAUCAAUUUCACCUCUUCCACCAUAGUUGAUAAGGCGGGCAGCAACGCUAAAGCUUUGCUCCAAGAAAAUGGCGUCUACUCCAAGCUCUACACUUUCUCCUCUCUAUGAAUCCAAUAUCUUCUGCAACUUCAAUUCUCCCCAAAAAUUCACUUUUCCCCUCAAACUUUACUCCAAAUCUUGUAUCCGAACGACCCAAGUGUCACUUCAAGAACAAUCCCAGGUAUCAAAUCCCAAUAAUUCUCAAUACUCAGAUAGAAAAGCUGUUUCUUCGUCAAAAAGCAAGCUUUGGGUCAACCCCAAAAGCCCCCGAGCUUCUGAGCUGAAGCGGAAGUCUUACGAUUUCAGGUAUGCUUCUCUAAUGAAAGUGGCUGAGUCUUUGGAUUCUUGUAAACCUGUAGAAGAAGAUGUUUUUAAUGUUUUAGCUGAUUUGGGUGACAAAAUAGUAGAGCAAGAUGCUGUUGUGACUUUGAAUAACAUGACUAAUGCUGAAACUGCGUUGCUGGCGAUGAAGUAUUUUCAACAAAGGUUGAAAUUGAGCAAAGAGGUAAUUGUGUAUAACGUGACGCUGAAAGUUUUGAGGAAAAAUAAGGAUUUGGAUAGAGCAGAGAAGGUGUUUGAUGAAAUGCUUGAGAGAGGGGUAAAGCCUGAUAAUGUUACUUUCUCGACUAUUAUUAGUUGUGCUAGGCAGUGUAAUUUGCCUGAAAAAGCUAUUGAAUGGUUUGAAAAGUUGCCAUCUUUUGGGUGUGAACCCGAUGAUGUUACGUAUUCUGUGAUGAUUGAUGCUUAUGGUAAGGCUGGUAAUGUAGAUAUGGCAUUGAGUUUGUAUGAUCGUGCGAGAACAGAGAAAUGGCGUAUAGAUGCUGUAACAUUUGCGACGUUGAUUAGGAUUUAUGGGGCUGCGGGGAAUUUUGAUGGGUGCUUGAAUGUGUAUGAGGAAAUGAAAGCGCUCGGUGUAAAGCCUAACAUGACUGUGUAUAACAGUUUGUUGGAUGCUAUGGGAAGAGCUAGGAGGCCAUGGCAGGCAAAGAACAUCUAUGGGGAAAUGCUAAGCAAUGGAUUUCAACCAAGUUGGGGUACCUAUGCUUCACUCAUUCGGGCUUAUGGUAGGGCUCGUUAUAGUGAAGAUGCUCUUAAAAUCUAUAAAGAAAUGAAGGAGAAGGGAUUGGAGUUGAGUGUGGUACUAUAUAAUACACUUUUGGCAAUGUGUGCUGAUGUCGGACUUACAGAUGAGGCUGUUAACAUUUUUGAGGAGAUGAAAAGCUCGGCCUCAGAGACUUGCCAACCUGACAGCUGGACAUACUCUUCUCUAAUCACCAUAUUCUCUUGUAGUGGGAAGGUCUCGGAGGCGGAAUUCACAUUGAAUGAGAUGAUGGAAGCAGGGUUUGAACCGAAUAUCUUUGUCUUGACCUCGCUUAUUCAGUGUUAUGGAAAAGCAGGUCGGACAGAUGAUGUAGUAAGAACUUUCGAUAGGCUGUCAGAUUUGGGAUUAUAUGCAGAUGAGCGGUUUACUGGUUGUCUUCUUAAUGUUUUGACACAAACAGCAAAGGAAGACCUUCACAAGCUAACUAUCUGCCUUGAGAGGGCAAAUCCAAAGCUUGGUUACGUGGUGAAAUUCCUGGUGGAUGAUGAAGUUGAAGAAGAAGAAGGGGCUUUUAAGAAACAUGCUACUGAACUUUUGGAUUGUGCAACUACGGAUGUCCGGAAAGCUUACUGUAACUGUUUGAUUGACAUCUGUGUCAAUCUUAACCAGUUGGAGAGAGCUUGUGAGUUGUUAGAUGUUGGGCUAACUCUCAACAUCUAUACGGAUAUUAUGUCUCGAACUGCUACUCAAUGGUCUUUACAUUUGAAGAGCCUCUCACUUGGGGCAGCUUUAACAGCAUUGCACAUCUGGGUUAGUGACUUGAACAAAGCACUUGAAAGUGGGGAAGAGUUCCCAUCAUUGCUUGGAAUCAACACAGGACAUGGAAAACAUAAAUAUUCCGAGAAAGGUCUGGCAGGUGUAUUUGAGUCGCACCUUAAGGAAUUAAACGCUCCAUUCCAUGAGGCACCUGAUAAGGCUGGGUGGUUUUUGACUACAAAGGUUGCAGCUACAUCAUGGUUAGAGUCUAGACGUGCUCAAGAGGUGGUUGCUGCUUAGCAAUGGUCAGGGUUCUUUGCUCUCUGGCCUUGAUAAUUCUUGUGCUACAGAGAUUUUGUUUCUCUUACAUCUGAAAGGUACCUUUAGUAGAUUAUCCAUUGUUUAGGAUACCUCUUGUUUCUAGAUGGGGAGGUUUGAAUUUUGAGUUCAGUAGCUAUCCAAGUGUAUCUUUUGCAAUCAGCAAUAGAAAAAGAAUUUGAGGAAAAAUGAAUGAGAUAUCAUAUUAAUAUUUUAAUUCUCCAAUAAAAUCUGACCAUAUCUUGCAUUGAACACUAAAAUAAACUGAUGGAAAACAUGGAAAAUGUUUAAGUUACUGUUUGCAUUGUAUUGGAGCAAACAUAGCUAGCUCUUUUGUAUUAAAAAAAGAGGCAUGAUAUUUCUUCUUAAUAUCGACCAAGUUAAGUUUAUUGACAAGGAUGGUUGUUGUGACGUAAAAAUUUUCUUUGCUUUCCCAAAGGUAACCUUUAUUGUAUAUCAGUCAUAAAGGUAAUACCCUAUUUGGCGUCCUAGUUUUCAUAUAAUAAGAAUUGGUUUUACCCGUGCACAUACUUCUUGAAAUUAAUACCAACAGUUGAAUUGCUCAAGAAAAUUAGUAGCAGAGAUAAAUAGGAGCAUACUCACCGUACAUUGUACACUGGAGGCAUUGCUGAUUAAAUACUUGAAAAUAAAAUGGAUAGUGUAACCAAAUGACUAAAUUUGAGAUCAACAUCUAGUUGUUCAGCUUUGCUUUAUUGGGGGAAGAAAAUGUGAUCUGCAUUUGAUCCAUCCAUGUUUUGAGCAGCAUUCACUACUCUGGUUGCACCAAAUCAAGACGAGCAGCACCAGAUCUCUUGAUUCAACCUCUUCGAGCUCUUCCUUACCAGCUGGAGUACGCCUACCUCAUCCUCUUCCUUACGCCCCUCUGUUAUCCAAUAUAGCCUCCUCUUCCUCUUUCAGCCUCCUACGAGGCUAUCACUUACUCUUUCUCCAUAACAUGACCUACCAUCUCCACUCAGAGCUAGUUGUCCUAACCAAGACAACAAGCAUAUGUCAGGAAAUUCAGAGCUAGUUGUCCUAAUUAAAUGUGGACUGCUAAUCUGAAUUUGUGGAAUAUUGUGAAGGACUGAAUGUCACUACAUGUAAUUGGAUGUUCAACUUUAUUUAGUAAUGGUAUUUCGCUUUCCCUGUUACUAGCUAGUUAGCCACAAAAUUCAGGUAUCCUUGAUGUAUGUUGUCACAAUGUAAUGGAAGUUGAUGAAAAAUUUGGCUCUGUUAUUUUAACUGUGAGAAAUAUAUGGGGAAAAUAUUAUUGAAUUGUGUAUCUAAAUUGUUACAUUGAGACCCUAUUUAUAGACAAUACAUUGAAAUCCUUUUCUAACUAGGAUUCCUAUUCCUAUUCUUCUUCCUAUUCUAAGUAGGAAUAUAUAUACAUAUUUCUAUUCUAACACUCCCCCUCAAGCUGGUGCAUACAAAUCAUAUGUGGUAGCUUGUUACAGAUGUAAUUAAUACGAGGACUUGUGAGGGACUUGGUGAAGAUAUCUGCAAGCUGAUCAUUUGACUUCACAAAUUUCGUAACAAUAUCUCCUGAGAGUAUCUUUUCUCUAACAAAGUGAUAGUCAAUCUCAAUGUGCUUAGUCCUUUCAUGAAACACUGGAUUUGAUGCAAUAUGAAGAGCUGCUUGAUUGUCACACACAAGUUCCAUCUGAUCAAUUUCGCCAAAUUUUAGUUCUCCCAGCAACUGUUUGAUCCAAACUAGCUCACAAGUUGCUGCCGCCAUUGCUCGAUAUUCUGAUUCUGCACUAGAUCGAGCAACCACACUUUGUUUCUUUCUCUUCCAAGACACCAAAUUACCUCCUACUAAAACACAAUAUCCGGAUAUCAAACGUCUAUCAGAGGGUGAUCCUGUCCAAUCAGCGUCUGUAUAUCCAGUGAUAUGCUCAUGACCUUGAUCCUCAUAGAGUAGUCCUUUACCAGGAGCUGACUUUAUAUAUCGCAAGAUACGAACAACUGCUUCCUAAUGACUAUUACAAGGAGAAGUCAUAAACUGACUUACAACACUCAUAGGAAAAGAGAUGUCAGGUCUAGUUACUGUGAGCUAAUUCAAUUUUCCAACGAGCCGUCUAUACCUUGCCUCUUCAAAUUCCUUGAAAACAUGCUCUGUUACUGAUUUCCCAGAUCUAAUUCACAAACGUUUGGGACAUCCGAGUCUAUCCAAACUGCAAAAGUUGGUGUCUAGAUUGUCUAGUUUAUCCAAAUUAGAUUGUGAGUCGUGUCAACUUAGGAAACACACUCGUGCUACAUUUUCACGUAGUACUGAGGGUCGUUCAGAGUCUAUUUUUUCAUUAGUUCAUUUUGAUAUUUGGGGUCCUAGUAGAGUCAAUUCCACCUUAGGAUUUCGUUAUUUUGUUAGUUUCAUUGAUGACUAUUCAAGAUGUACUUGGGUUUUCUUAAUGAAAGAUCGUUCUGAGUUAUUUUCUAUAUUUAAAAGUUUCUUUGCUGAAAUAAAAAAAUCAAUUUGGUGUUUCUAUUCGUACUUUUCGUAGUGAUAAUGCCUUAGAAUACUUAUCCUCCCAAUUUCAGGAGUUAUGACUCACCGAGGCAUUAUUCACCAGACUACUUGUCCAUACACCCCUCAACAAAACGGUGUAGCAGAAAGGAAAAAUAGACAUCUUAUUGAGACUGCUCGUACUUUUCUCCUUGAAUCCCAUGUUCCACUGCGUUUUUGGGGAGAUGCAGUUCUUACGUCUUGUUAUUUAAUAAAUAGAAUGCCCUCAUCUUCUCUUCAAAAUCAUGUUCCACAUUCCAUACUGUUUCCUGAGUCACAUCUCUAUCCUAUCCCCCUUCGUGUCUUUGGGAGCACAUGCUUUGUUCAUAACUUACCCCCAGGGAAAGAUAAAUUAGCCCCUCGUGCCCUCAAAUGUGUCUUUCUUGGUUACUCUCGAGUUCAAAAAGGGUAUCGUUGUUAUUCACAUGAUCUUCAUCGUUACCUUAUGUCCACUGAUGUUACAUUCUUUGAAUCUCAGCCUUACUAUACGUCUUCUGAUCAUCCUGAUGUUUCUAUGGUCUUACCCAUACCUCAGGUUUUACCUGUACUUGUGAAUAAACAAUAUCAGACAAAAGUGAUUUAUUACCAGAGAUAUGAUCAGAAGCCCCUGAGUCCAUGACCCAUGAUCCAUGAUCCAAGAGUACUAGACUGUGACACACAAGCAAAAGAAUUACCCGCAACAGAAACAUUAGGUUGUGCAACUAAAACUACUUGUGGAGACGUUUGUUUAUUUGCAUGAUACUGAAGGAACUCAUCAUAUUCUGUCUGAGCAAUAUGAGCAUUAUUGGAUGGUUGAUUAAGUUGAGCACCAUAUGCUACUGGUGGAGAUGUCUGUUUACUUGCGCGAUUUCGAAGGAACUCAUUAUAUUCCUUAAGAACAAUAGGAUCAUAACUGGGUGGUGGACCAUGAAAAAUAUAACAUAUAUCACGAGUGUGUCCAGGUUUAUGACAAUGACUACACUUGGAUCGAGGUUUUCCAAAACGCCCUCCCCCUCGCCGAUUCUCCAUAGACUGGUAUGUACGCUUUUCUGUGGUUUGAGAUGCAAGAAUAGAGGAGUCAACAAUGGGUGAUGAAACUUCUUUGUGACUGGGAGUGCAGCAAGACGAAGCAGACGAGAGAAUAAUUCAUCAAUUGAGGGAAUUGUAGGACUGGCUAGAAUCUGGUCAUGCACAGAGUUAUGGUCAGUAGGAAGUCCAGCAAGUGUAAGAACUAGAAACAAUGUAUGCCUUUGCUCUUGUUGCUUUUUCCACGUUUGUAGUGAUAGGCAUCAACGUUUCAAAUUCCUCUAUGACUGCCUGUACUUGUCCCAAGUAAGUAGACAUAUCGGAUUCUUGUUUCUUUAAGUUAGUCAUCCGAGAUAUCACAUCAUAAAAUUGAGAUAUGUCAUUAGUGUAUAAAGCAUGUGCCUUUUUCCAAACUAAAUAACAUGUUUGGGAUGGGCGAAACAAGGGCAUCAACUUAGAAUCAAUAGAGCGUCAAAGGAGACUACAUAAUUGGGCAUCCACUUUCUCCCAUUGUGCUUUGGCUUUUGCACCUUCGUCACUAGACUUUGUCUUUUCAUUUACAACGCAAGCAUUGUUUGUUAAGUGAUCGUGAACACCUUGACCUUUGCACCACAACUCAACUGAAGAAGCCCAAGCUAAAUAGUUUGAACUUCCCAUUAAUGGUUCUGAAGUGAUUGUAAGGCUUGAACUUCCAAUCCCCGUAUUUUUGGAGCCAAAAACAUCACAUCUGAAAGACAUUUUUCGAAAUUUGACUUGAAAAGAGUAAGAAACUCGAUGGAAACUGCCGGAAUCUACCCACUGUGGCCUGAAAAAUCUGAUUUCACCGGGAACUCGCCGAAAACUGCCUGAAAAUCACCGGAACCCUAAUUCCGGUGAUCGGAUCUAGAGAAAACUGAAUGGGUUCUGGUCGGAAAUACUGGGCGACCUCAACAGAAGAAAAUAGCUUAAAAAAAGAUGACCGGAGCAGCAGUCACGCGCCAACGCGUGAACAGAUCUCAUCGGAAAGCUUCCACCUCCGACCGGGGCGUGGGGGCGCGUGGGUUUUUUUUUUCCGGUGGAUCUGAUUGGGGUUCGGUCGCCUGAGCUUCCCGAGCCUCGUGAUAGUGUUGUCUUUCGCACAACACCUUCAGAACGAAAGAUGACACAAAUCAGUCCCAACCAUCGUCGCCAGAAUUUGACACGAUGACUUAAAAUUUCUUACCAAUGCUCUGAUACCAUGUCAGAAAUAUAUGGGGAAAAUAUUAUUGAAUUGUGUAUCUAAAUUGUUACAUUGAGACCCUAUUUAUAGACAAUACAUUGAAAUCCUUUUCUAACUAGGAUUCCUAUUCCUAUUCUUCUUCCUAUUCUAAGUAGGAAUAUAUAUACAUAUUUCUAUUCUAACAUUAACAAAGCAAGGAAUCAGGUCAUUCAUAUAUACUUAGGCUUGAGCUCAUUAACUAGGUCCAAUUUUUCUCCAUUUGUUACACCUCCCCAUUUUCAGCAUUAAUAUGCUCAGCUAGCCUGAUAUUCUCUACUUCUUUUCCGUCUGUCUAUUUAUCACCUUCUGAUGCACACAACUCUUAAGAGCUAUGGCCUAUGAAAGCAUCAUCACAUUAAUUAAACCGUGUUGAGCUUGUUUAGUUACAAGUUAGUACAGUCAAGAGCUCAGCUGUGAAUAUUCAACUAAAGCAAUUCCCCCAUAUUUAGCUGAAAUCUUGUGCCAAAUGAUCCAAGUAUCUGAUAUUUCGUCUUGCCUUCUUACUGUAUAUCAUUAUUCUGUAUGUAAAGGUCAAGUCAAUAGAUAAAUUGAUGUGAUUUUCGUGAACUUGUUAUAGAAUGAAUGGAAUUGUUCAGCUAAAUGACGUCUUGAGAAAUGUCAUGUUCGUGUUCUUGAGGUGUUGGAUCGUUCUGUACACUCGAAAGUCACUUCAUUGAACUUGAACUCUACCAUAUAUCAUUCAAGUGAUAAAUGGAAGAAUCCAAUUUCCUUCGAUCUUAUUUGCCUUACAUCGGGCGUAAGAGCAAGGAAGUGUCAAUGUCCAAUCCCCCAGAUGAGCCUUCUGUCUGAUUCUAUCAAAAUAAUAAGUACACUACUAAUUUUGAAUGCAAGUGUUGAAAAUGUGGACAUUAUUUUCCUAUUUCAUCAUCUUAGCUAGCCAAAGUCGGAGUCAAGAUUUGAACUUUAUGGUUUUAAAUUUAAUUUGUGUAGUCGGACUCUUAAUUAGGUACCGACUUAAGGGGUGCAAUGUAUAAUGAAUGAUGCACCCCUUUUUGACUUUAUGAAAGAAUAAACAAUAUUCAACUCCGAUGGUGCCUUAAAAAUAGUGUUGGAUGAUUAGAUAAUUGUAGAGUUUUGACUUCCAUGUAAUACUUUAAUAUUUGUUGUUCCUGAAACUAAUAAUGCAGGGUGCUGCAAACUGUAAAAUGCCUUUUUUAGACCAAAAAUGAAGGUUGCCUGCACGUUUCUUUGUCUGGUACAUGUUAUAGCAGCUGCAUAUAUAUAUAUAUAUAUAUAUAUAUAGAACAGCUAUUCAUUAGUCGUAAUGUACAUGCAAAUAAUAAGUCAUGGGGAACUGCAUUAACAUAAGGAAAGAAAGAGUUCGGAGUUUCGAGGAAGAAGACAAAUUGCUGGAGAAAACGUCCAUUUUCUCCCAGCAAAUGCAGAAGCUGACUUCUGCGGAGAUUUAUGAUCUCCGUGAUAGUUGUAAGAACCAGAGAGUCAAGAUUGUAUUGACGAAAGAACAGUUGGAGAUCUUUUUGAACAAUGUUAAAGAUCUCCAAUCUGGAAAAAUCGUUCGAUCCUUCAAGGGAAAGAGAAGAAGAAGAGUAGUAGGUAAGAAAUGGAGGCCAUGCUUAGAUACAAUUCCAGAGUUGUAGAGUUAUUAGAGAAAGUUCAUAAGAAUAUUUUGUGUAGGUGCAAAACCAACACCAUUUUUCCCCAUUCUGACAUUGUACAUGAAAAAAAUGAACAUAUUGGAGGGAGGUGACAUCAAGAAAUGUCAGUAUGAGCUUACUCACAUUGUCCAUAUCAAG